rnacentral:lncRNA from 1 species
GCCACCGGACUGUCAGUCUAUUGGCUGCUGAGAGCUCUCUUAUUUUUGCUUUUAGGCUUUGAGAAAUUGUUUUACAUUAUGGAUUUUACUUAUGGUCAUUCCUCUUGCAGGUGAGGACUUUGACUAGAGAGUUACGAGCUACUUCAUUAAAAUAAUUAAGAAAAAACAUGGAAAGGACAUUAGCAAGGAUAACAUGGCUCUUGGGAUGCUUAGGAGGGAAGUUGAGCGUGUCAAGAGAUUUCUUUUUCAUUUUCUCUCCUACUAUAUACUCGUAUUUUUAUAAGCAUUCUAAAAAAAUAUAUAGGGUGUUGCCUGAUACCGUGACGAUACUAAAAAAUUACUCUUUUAAAAGUCUAAUGAUUACGUGAUGAUUAGCUUUAAAAAAGAGUGAUGUCGUCGAUGUGUGAGGCGACACCGAUAUUUACUAUAACAAACGACUCAUUCUUGUAAUUAAAAUUUCUUUAAUAUCAUUUUUAUAAUUAAUUAAUUUUUAUAUUAUUUUUAUUGAAGGGACCUAAAAUUGUGAUUACCAAUCAGAUUGAAUUUAGUGCAACAAAAUCAGCUUAGCACUUGAUUAGCAUAAUCGUGAGUGGCGUUAGUUAAAAAACGGUCCAGUUCCAGCUGUACAGUAAAUGCAUUCACGUUUUCUUAUUGCCACAAAUAAAAUAUUGCAAAAAAAAAACACAAAAUUUUGACCGUUGAUAUGAUUGGAAAUACGCGUCGAUGCGCCGAAUUUUAAGCCGUUUCACUAUAGCCACGUGGCACGCCGGAUUAUGGAAAUACGCUAGGGCCCCACGCGAUUCUCGUAGGAGGCAGCGGCCACCUUUCACGCUUUUGGCUUUCUUUUUCUUUUUUUCGGUUUCCAUAAUUACCCUCCCUUGGUCUUCAGAAUUUGUGAAUACGCCAUUCGAAGGUCCUCGUUUAGGGCAAAUCAGUAUAUACGUAGAGUAUUGAAGGGUAAUUUAGGAAUCACGUGACACGCGGCGCUUCACUGCCGUGGGCUGUGGGCGGUUUCAAAAGCAAAGGAAGGAAGCGUUCCGUGUUGAAAAUCAGUUCCAUUAAUAUUGAUUGAUUUAAUUAAUAAUUGAAAUUAUUCCUUCGUUUCUAAGUAAAAUAAUUUAUUGUUUAGUAUUAUUAGUUAAAAGUCUGAGGGGUUGAGUUCGAGUUUUAUUAUGUAUAAUUAUAUUAUGCGAGUUUUUGAUUUCAUUAUAUACUUAUGUCAUGCGUAGAUUCUUUUUUUUAUAAUAUAUUUUAAAUCGAAUCGAUUAAGUUAUUGAUUCAAUUAAAAUUUUUUAAAAAUAGAUUAAAAAUUUAAUUUAACAAAUGUUUGCUCGAUUCAACUGGUUCGUAUCGAUUCUUGAGUUAAUCAAUUCAAAACCUCUCCUCGACUAGGGGUGUUCAAAUUUCGAUUAAAACUUAAUUAACCAACCAAAUCGAUUUAAUUCGGUUAAUCGAUUUAAUUCAGUUAGAGGUCGGUUAAUGAUUUUUUAGAAGUUUGAUUAUCGGUUAAUUCAAUUCAAAAUUAACCGAACUUAAUAAUUAAUAAUAUAAAUUAUAUGUAGUUUUAAUUCGGUUAAUUCGGUCAAAUGAAAUCAAUUUUUUUUGUAUGUUUUAUACUUGUUUUAACAAAAAAAUAUAAAUUUUAGUUAAUUCAGUAAUAUUUCGGUCCGGUUACUUUUUUUUAAAUUACGGUUCGAUUAACAAUUAAAUAAUUAAAAUUUUUGAUUAAUUCACUUUGAUUAACCGUUCCGGUUAACCAUUUGAACACCCCUACCCUAAACCGGUAUCUCAACCGAUUUUUAAUCCAACCUUUUUUUUAUUCAAUUGGUAAAAAUAGAUGAAUUCUGAAAAAAAAAUAAGUUUUUAUGGUUUACUUUUAGUUUAAUAUUAAACCCAAAUUUGGUUCAUUUUAUCUCGAUAAUAUUUAAAUAUUAAAAGGAAAAAUCUGUUUUAGGCCCCCCAAAAGUCAUUGCAAUCAUUAUUUUUACCCCUAAUGAUUUACAUUUUAUCACACUUUCUUUGACAUUGCUCACUCUUGUCUUUGUCCAGUUGAUUAAUUUUAUUCUUUACUUAUUAUUAUAGCAAAGCUUUUGACACUUUAUCCCUCUUUCAAAACUUCAAACUUUUUCAUAAAGAAAAAAAAUUCAAAGUUCAAUUUUCAAGCUUUGGGAGCCUUGAAUGAGGGAUAAAGUGACCAAGUAAAUUUAUACACGUAGAUGAAAAAAAUAUGUAAAAAGUUUAUAUAAUUUAAAUUAAUAUUUUUUUAAAAAAUGAUAAUACUUAACCACGGGUUAGGUGAAAUGUUAAGGGUUUCUCCUACUUUAAUCAAUGGUUAAGAGUUUGAUCUUCGUUUUGAGUAUGGAGAACAACUUUAAAAUUCAUAGUCAGCGUCAUUAAACUCACUUCGAUGAGUACCUUAAAAUGAAAUAAUAAUAAUACAUAUAAGGGAAACAAAGUAGUUUAUUUUAAUAGUUUUUAAGAGGUGGGGUUAUCUUUUUCAAAGUAAUUAAGGUUUGUUUUAAAGACAUAAAUCUCGGGUAUUAACUCAUAAUUUAUAGAAAAAGUGGUUUUUAAGUCAAUUCCUUAAGUAAGUAUCAAGAUUUUUUAGUAAGGAUAAAAUUAGGAAUAUGAAAAUAAAUAUAAAAAGUAUCUUAGAAAUACUAUGUAAACAUUCAAAUGGUAUGGGCAGGGGCGAAACCAGGGGCUAGCAGGGACCCAGCCCCUAUAAAAUGAAAAAUUUUCGAGUAUUUGGAUUAAAUUUAAAUUUUAGAGUUGAUAAUAUUAGGAAAGUUUUAUCUGAAUAUCACUUUUAAUCGAAUAGAAUUGUGUUUGAAUAAUAAUAAUACAAUUACAAUUACAUGACACAAUAAUAUCUUAUAAUAUCUUAUAAUAUAAUAAUAUAAUGGUGAAAUUUCAAUUCUAAUCUUUCUAUUUUUGAGAUUAUGUAAGAACGGUUAAAUUUUAGUUUCGAUCUCUUUACUUCAUUCAAAUUUGAGAUUUAAUCUUUAUACUUUAAUUUCGACAUAAUUUGGUACCUCAACUUUUAUAAUAUCAUUAGUUCAAUUAAAUGCUUAUCUCAAAAUUAAAAUGUUUAUGCGAACUUUUAAGAAUCGUUAACAUUGUUAAAACUCUCUAUUAAAUUCAUGUCCAUUACAGGAAUACCAAGUGAGUAUUUUUUUUUUAAAAUUUCAAAAUAUCAUACCAAUAAAUUCGACUGAAGCAUUUUAACGAUAUUAACAAAUAGACCUAAAAUUUCAAAAUUCGAAAAAUAAAGAGAUUAAAUUCCUAAAACUAAAAGUAUAAAAAUUAAAUUCCAAUAUAUGAUUAGUGUUGGAGUUUGUGUAACCCGAAUCUCAUCACUUGUUGAAGAAAUAAAUCCAGUGGUAAAAUAAGGAGAUCUAUAGGGGCGAAUUAAGCUCAAAACUGGGCUGGGGUUGCGACGUUCGCCCCCGUAGUACGGGCCAUACCGCACAAGUAGAGUCCAUAAAGAACUACAUUCUACUAUUUGACUUUGAUUAAAACAAGAUUUUUAAAUUCUUAAAUAGAUAUAAUCGAAACUCCGGAUUGUGAUUAUAUUUUUAAAGAUUUGUAUGUAAGUAUUGAAAAUCCAAACCCUAUAACUAAAGUCCUCUUUGGAUACGCAAUAUAUAUAUGUAUGAAUUCAAUGUAUUGUGAUAUUUAAGAUAGUAAUUUUAAAGAUAAAGUUGAGCCAAUCUCCUUGGCAAUAUGUGGGUGGGAUAAAGAUGAACACCCAUUUGAAUAUUACAUGAAAAUAUUUUCAUGAAUUUGAAAUUCCGAAUAUCGUAUUUGCAUAUUUGUGAAUUUAAAUGCUUCACAAGAACCUUGUAUUUCUUUAAGCUCUUCGUUUUCAACUAUUCAAGUUUCAAAAAUUCAACCAUGUGAGACAUUAAAUUAAAGAAUCAGUGUUUUUUUUUGAACAAUCUUAUUAUAGGUUGUGGUUGUAUCUGUUCUUUUUGACACAAUGUUAGAAUUAUUUAUAGUCUUUUUCUAAACCAUAAAUAGAAGUAUAAUACAUUUUAGCACACUCGAACACAUGUUCUCUUGUAUUAUCAAUAACGCCCAUCUCAACCGAGUUAAGGUUCAGUCAGUUAAAUUGAUUUUUUUAAAUGUAAAUAGUAACUGAAUAAAAAAAAUAUGAAAAUAAUAAAAAUUACUUUAGGGGUUAAAAAUGAAUAAUGAUUUGGAAGCAUGGUAUAAUAUUAUCAUUACAUUAACUUAUGAUUUUAUAAAAUUUGAAGGGCUUUUAUAUCAAAUUUAUUAGUUUUUGGUCUUGCCUUCGCCUCUAGCAAUUUGAGAUAUUGAGACGAUAAAUCAAACAUCCGUCUCACAAAAUAAAAAAUCUUUGUUACUUCGAUUUGAGAUCAAAAAUCAUGUUGAGAAAACUCAAAUCGUCAAAUCGUCAAAAAAGUUCACCAUUAAAAUGCUAGGGAGAACAAGUCUUUAGGUUUAGGACAUGGACAUGCUAGUAAAAAGAGUUCAUGCCUACUGACUCUGUUCUGAAUUCUCAGUUCUGACUCUUGACUGAUUUCUCAAACCUCCUUUCACUAAAAAUUAUUAGGAAAAAAACCCCAUGAAGCAUUAAUAUGAUUUUUAAAAUAAAAAAUAAAAUUUCUAAAAUAUGAUGGAAAAUGAUGUUGAAAAUGAAAAAGUAAGAAAAAGAAAAUGGGAGAAUAAUUUGAAAAAAAAAAAAACCUGUCUACAUAUGAACAGCUAACACCUGCUCAGUCUCCCAAUAAAAUGACCUGCUAUAUUGUCUUUCUUUUCAAUUUUUAUUGACCUUUUUUGGUUCUCAUAGCUGUAGAGAGAUUAGUCAUAUUAUUAUUCCUUUCUUCUUCUUUCAUUCUCAACAAUCUCUUCCCCCUCUUCUUCCAUAAUACUCUUUCUCUUCAUAUAUAAUCUUUAUUUUCAAACACCCUAAAUUUACAACCACAUAUUCCAGAGAGGAUUUUUUUAAAAAAAAUGGUGAUGAAGUUACCUUAUCUGGGUUCUUGUUUGUUUUUGGUUUUUUUUAGUUUGGUUUCUAUUGUUGCUUCUGGGUCUGGAAAAGGGCUCCCAAUUCUUUCAUUCGAUGAAGGAUAUAAUCAGUUGUUUGGGGAUGAUAAUCUAGUUAUCCAUAGAGAUGGUAAAGCUGUUCACUUGUCUUUGAACGAAAGAACAGGUAUGUUUCUUUUUUGCUGAUUUGGGUUCUUCUUUUUUUCUUUGUUGUUUCAUUAAAAAGGAAACAUUUUUUUGCUUUUGAUGAUGGUGCAAAACAGGGUCGGGGUUUGUGUCACAAGACCUUUACUUGCAUGGUUACUUCAGUGCUUCAAUAAAGUUACCUGCUGAUUACACUGCUGGAGUUGUGGUUGCUUUCUAUGUGAGUUUAUCUAUGUUCUGCAUUAAUCUCUUUCCUUUUUUUUAUAUUAAAAUCUAUUUAUCUAACAGUUAAUUAUUUUAGAAGCUCUCUCAACAGUCCUUUUAAGCUCAUGGUUGCUGUUUAGUGUCAAUUAAUCUGUUUUUUUUUUUAAUUCUGAUACUAAUAAGACUCAGAUGAGUUUGUCACUGUUUUUUUCACUUUCCUCUCAUGGUUCAACUUGGAGUUUGAAUAGGGUCUUGAAUAAAGACUUUGGUUUUUCUUUUCAAGUCACAAAAAAUUCAAAUUUUUAUUCAAGAAUCUGAUCAAAAUACACAUGGAUAUGACUAUGAACAUGUUCAACUUAUCUCAGGUUAAUUAGAAUUUCCAGAUGGUUUUUUCAUGUUGAAGGAGAUGGCUUCUUUCAUAAAUGAAAUUCAUUUUCCUGAAUAUGGAUUUUAAUUUAUGUGAUAAACAGAUGUCAAAUGGUGAUAUGUUCGAGAAGAACCAUGAUGAAAUAGAUUUUGAGUUCUUGGGUAACAUUAGAGGAAAAAAUUGGAGGAUUCAGACCAAUAUUUAUGGCAAUGGAAGCACCAGUGCUGGCAGAGAAGAGAGAUACAAUCUCUGGUUUGAUCCUGCUGAUGAUUUCCAUCACUACACUAUUCUCUGGACUGCUUCUCACAUCAUGUAAGCAUUCACAAUCUAUAUCCCCAAAUACUCGUGUUGGACAUCCGACCCAAUCACAAACAUGGAUAUGGGAAUAUUACCCUUUAAGCAUUGCCCCCACCAUCUCUCCUAUAAUUUUUUGUUGUGUUGCUUUCCUUUUUCCUCAAAUGGUUAAAUCCUUUAGUUAUGCUGCUCUGCUCCAACCACAACUUUUUUAACCUAUGAACAUUGUAUGAGUAAGUGCUGAACAUGCUGUUUUGAAGAGUUGUGGUUUUGAUGUGAUGGUUGUAUUGUGAUGUAGGGUAAGUUUCUUAUUUUGGGAUGUUUAUAUAUUACACGAUAUGAAGUCUGGUUUUGCUUGUAAUGGCAUCCCUUUUACAUCCAUCCAGUUUUUCUUCUAAUACCACCAUAACUAAAUUGUUGGUUUUGUUUUUGAUGGUAAUUAUUUUUGCUUGCAGAUUUUAUGUAGACAAUAUCCCCAUUAGAGAGUUCAAAAGAACAGCUGAAAUGGGUGGAGAUUUCCCCUCUAAGCCAAUGUCAUUGUAUGCUACAAUAUGGGAUGGAUCUGAUUGGGCUACUAAUGGUGGCAAAUAUAGAGUCAAUUACAAAUAUGCUCCUUAUGUAGCGGAAUUCUCCGAUUUAGUCUUGCACGGCUGCGCAGUUGAUCCAAUCGAGUUUUCGUCCAAGAGGUGUGACGGCACGCAAAGUUGGGAACAACUUACAACCAGUAUCACCCCAUCACAAAGAAGCAAGAUGGAUAGCUUUAGGAGGAAGCACAUGACAUACUCUUACUGCUAUGACCAAACCAGAUACAAGGUUGCUCCUCCGGAGUGUGUGAUCAAUCCCCGAGAAGCUGAAAGACUGAAGAAGUUUGACCCUGUCAUGUUUGGAGGAGGCAGGCGCCACCAUGGGAAACGACACCACCAUAUGCGAGCAAGCCGGUCUGAGGCUGAUUCCAUCUGAUGAAAGACCUUUGACCAUUGUUUUCCUCUCCUUUUCAUUCAGCUUGGGGAUCAGUUUUGUGUAUAGAGAGAGGGGGAAGACUGCAGAGCACAGCACAUAUACAUAUAUAUAUUGAGGGUGAUAUGAGUCAUUAUAUAUGUUCAAUGAUGUGGGGGGUAUGUGUAUAGUUCCAUACCGUUUUAGGUUUCGCUGUCCAUUUUUGUUAUUGAUGCAAUAAAAUACUUUAGCAGAUUUAAAACAUCUUUAUUUUUUAAAAAGUUAAUUUAAGUAUCAUUUUCUGCUUUCCCUCUUGGUGGUUCAAAGAGACAUCUGCAGCACCCAAAAUUGUUGCAUUUAAUGUCCAAAGUUUGGGGUUAUCUCUAUGUCUGUUAGCAUGUUGCUGAUCAAUAUGUAUAUGCCAUUGGGUAGUUGGAAUCUAAGGAGGGUUAGAUGUGACAAGUUGGGGAGAUAUACUUUUAAAAAAUAUUACUAAAUUUUAUUUUUGAGCCCUCCAAAAACUAAUAAUUUAAUUUAAACCCUUUAACAAAAAAAAAUAACUUUGACAUCUAAAAUUUUAUAAUUAAAAAAAAUGUUGAUUUCGCCCACUACAGAACAUAAAUUCAUCCAUUCCAAGGGGCAUUAAAUAUAAAGCAUUUGCACAAAAUCAUAAGGUGAAGAAUAGAGGUCACAAAUUUUUGGAACAACUUGUGCUUAGAUUCCAAUAUCAUUUGACAGCCAAUUCUGAACUGGAAUUGCAACCUCAUUGAGUAAAAUUGAAAUGAAAAAAAAUGAAGAAAUCCCAGUAUUUUAGACCACAUAAUAAUAAUUCAUAGUUAUCCAUAUGCACUGACAUAAAUCAUGUGCAAAGCUCAAAAAGAAAAGGCUACAUCUCACUAUCUUUUAAAGCAGAUAUCUUUGAUUGCUAAGAUUGUAACCUGCAUUUCCCUAACAGUGAAAGAAAUCAAAGAAAAUGGAUUUGAUUAACACAAGCUAACAAGUGCAAUAUCAAUAUACAUACCCGCUAUAAACCCUAAAAUUUGACUUUGUCCAAUAGUAUCACAUGUAUGUAUAACCCUUCCUCUUACUAAUCCAUGUAAAGUAGAUGAAUGUAAGAAAUAUCAUGUAAAUCAUUUACACGAUGCCAUGGUGUGUUAUGUCCAAGAUUUUUCUUUUCUUCUAUAAGAAACAGCUGUUAAGAAAUAUAAAUGAUAGUCCAAAAGCAAAAUGUCCAGAAGAUGCUUUCCAGCAACAAGAGGAGAUGCAUUCAGAAAAGUUCUCAACACAAAUACGACUCCAACUAAUUUCGAAUUCUACUACCAAACUUACAUUUACCACCAAAGUAUAUCAGUAAAGAACAAGAUCUCUAGUUCUGGGAUUCAGCUGCCUCCUUUCUCUCUAUCAGUUUGAUGAAAUUCUGAACAAUUAUUUUGCCUUCAGAGGUUAUGAUGCUCUCCUGACUGAAAUGAACACCCUACGGUUUUCAAUCAACUUAAUGAGCGUAAAGAGAAGUAAAUGGAAAAGAUUGAUAUAGUAAUACUUCAGUAAGUGGAAAAUAAGCAUAACAAUGAGGGACAGCCUCUGCAUAAGGCUUUUUUUGGGACCCUUCUUUUCCUCGACUCUUGGUUUGUGAUAAAAGGAGGAAAAAGAUGACAUAAAGAACUUGUUAAAAGUGCUUGUUUUAUGAUGGUAGCUUUAGUUUCUUUUAUCUAUAACCAGACUAUGGAAUCAAAUCAUAUAGAGGUAUACACAAAUUGCUAAAACUGAAUGAAGGAAUGUAUGUGGAAGAUGUGGAGAUCAUAGUGUGAACAACAUCAUCGACCGUCUCAUAACGACGAUGUUAGAAUUGAAGAAAUGUUCUUAGCAGUGAUGGGGGUUAAUAUAGGGGUAUAAUUAAGAUGAAAAAAUAGCUAUUUUAAUUCCUAAAAUGCUGCAAAAACCCAAGGGUGUCAUGUCUAAGGCACUGAAGUCAAGAAAGGGUACUCCUAUGAAUCUAUGAUGCCAUUAGAGAUGCUAUUACAUUGAUAUCUCUAGGCAGUAAUGUCAGAACAGAACAGAGGUAACUAAGAGACGAGAGACUUUUUGAUAAAUAUGAAAACAAGUGACAUUUUGGUUUUCAACAUAAAAUAGGUUGUUAGUUAACAUUUUCAUACUGAAAUUUAAAAGGUAUCGAUGUCUGCAAGUGCAUGUAUACAAGAAGACACCAUUUUGGCCAAAAAAAGAAGACACCACUAGAAAAAUCAAUAUAAACUUAAUAAAAUUAGGAGAAUAAAGCACAUUGCAGAAAGAACCUUAUUAGAUGAUUCUUAAAACAAGCAAUUGGUCAAACAUAUAUCAUGGUUGAGCUAUGAUUCUCCAGAGAUUAAAAAAUUAUGGUGCCAGGGAAUUUAACCUUAUAUUGAUACUCCAAUUAUUCCAGAUAUAAUUAUAGUGAUUCUAUCAAUUAGGAGUGCAUCUAAUUUAUGUAAAGAAAUCAGUUACAUCACAGCAAAUACAAUCUUACCAGCCAAUCAGUUAGUUUUCAAUUUGACUGUAGGUGUUUGUUCUCAUUCUGAAAAUCAUUGUGCUAAUACGUUAUAAGUAAAAUAGACAGCGGUCUUACAUGUAGAUACUUGUAUAUCUUGUGCCGAGCAGCCAUUAUCAGUGCAUCUUCUGUAAAAGCAGUAACCUUGAGUGCUUCCAAAGGAAAACUAUCCAUAUCAAGAAAGGCAUCGGGACCUCUGCCAGCUUGGAAUGGGCUGGAAAAGGCACAAACUUAGUAAGAAUUGCUGAUAAUCUGAGGUGUAAUUAAUGAAAUAAAUUGGAAACUGUUUUUAAGAGUAAUUUAAUAGAGCUUCCAAAUGUCUAGUAAAAAUAAAGAAGGAUAGUAGCAGAAAAGGGAGGUUUUGACCAAGUAUGCCACACAGUAAUAGUAUAUUACAUUCUCACAUGGGGGCUAGGGGUGGUUGUGAGGGAAGCAAGGUGCAGUUUUCUGAGAGAGAUUGGUUUUAGUUUCCCAAGUAAGCAUUGCAACAUGCUCAACAGUGACUAUAUACCCUUAGACACUAUAUGAACUUCAUAUGACUGGGCUUCUUUUUCGGUAUAUUUAUAGACUCCUCACUCUCAACACCCUUUCAUUGCCAAUCUCAUAGCUAAACCUAGGUCUGAAAGCGGCAGGGUGAUUUGCAAAUCUGAAACAUAGACUUCACUAAUUAAAAUGGCUCUUCUUCUGUACCUUUCUCAAAUUCAGUUUGCUAAUGUGAGAUUUUAACGAAGAUAAGAUUUUUUUCAUACCACUAGUUUUUCAAUGGCCAACAAAUUUAGGACAUGAUUAGCUACAUAAGUAGUCAACCAUGCACAUUAUGUGUAACAUGCUGUAUAGAGCUCUACUGAUUUUCUGACCUAUUGGAACCAUCUAGCAUUGGUAAACAAAAGCUGACAGGGUGUAGAAUCCCUCUCAAGGGGCAUUGGAAAAAAAAAAGUGGAAAUUGAAACAUGUUUUACAGCUCCUUAUCCACUAUUUUGCCUAUAAAAGUAAACAAAAUUUCCUAACAGUUGAAACUUGUUAGGGGAAAAGUGCUAUUAAGGAGUCCCUAUACUUGAAAGGUAAAAGAGAGCUCAAGAAACAAAUUUGACUGUAUUGAUAGUUUGAGCACAUAAUUUAAGCACACUUUAAGAAUUUAAAAAGGAAAAAUUGUGGGCCAAGAAGUAUAUACUUUGGCAAUCCUGUAAACAACCCAGCUUCCUUCUCAUCAUAAUAAUAUACACAACAACUGUCGCCCAGUUUAAGACCAUAUGGAGAACGUACUGUCUUUCCUGCAUUUUACAAUGAAGUCAAACAAAUAAUGUUAAGAUCCCACCAGCAAGCAGCCCAGCUUCAUGAUAGACAUACACGACUAUGGAAUAAAUAUUGAGAUAAUGUAGAAAGAUCCUGAAUUAAAAUGAAUAACAGUUACAUAAGCUAUCCUUGAACACUCACCUCUGAAAGCCUCACAAAUGCACCACAUUCCCGUAGAAACACCUAACAAUGGUACAAUCGUCCAAGCUCCAAAACUGUUUGCAAUAAUGUUCUGGAGUUUUUGAGCGUGCCUGUUCAAUGGAUACAAAGUGUAUAAAAUGCUGAAAUACGACAGGUUCUUAUGCUUUGGUUAAUACGGCAAACUAGUACCUGGACCAGGGGAGAUGAGCACUCCCCUAGGGUUUUUCCUACAAUAUAACAGGAGAACUAGUCAUUAUGUGAAUAAAAUCUCUAGAUAUAAGAUAAUUAAUAACCAUCCACCACCCGAGUGACCAUCAUGUUAUACAUAGUAUUGUACUAGUCAAAAGGCUAAAAUUCUUAACUUUUCAACUCUUCCACGGUUAACUCAUCAUUCCGACAAACCUUGAGACUACAUCCAAGCUCUCCUAAAUCCUGCAAAGUAACAUGUAAAUUCUGAGGGUUUUCUGUAAUUAGUCAAUAGCACAACUCAGAAAAGACUAAAAGCAAUCAAACAAAAAAAUUCGUAAGGCAACAUUUCUAGAUCAGAAAAUUAUUAUCAACUCCUUUUACCCCUUUCAUAAGGCGGCAAUCAAAUGAGCCAUGUCUACUGCUUAAAAGGACAAAGACAAGAUUGAAGUAAGGAUGAUUCCCAACAUUGGAAGCAAGAUUUCACUCUAUUCCCUAAUAGUUGGUUUCUCAGUGCUUGUGCUUGUGCUUGUCCUUGUCGGGGGGAAAUCUUUGACCAAUUUCUAGCACCAUAAACAUAAAAAACUGUCUCAUGCUAUUGAUAUUCAUUGGUCAAAGACCAUUAAACCAAGUGACCAACAGUAUCGAAGAUGCUGAAUUGAGUUCACUACACCAUAUGAAUAUUCAUUCAGCAGGAAUCACUUUUGACAUAUCAUGUUUCUUACUGAUAAUAAAGUUGCAACAAUUUCGUUGAGGUAAAUAGUUUUGAAAAAUAAUCCUUUACUUUCAAAGAAAGAACUAAAAUUAGACCAAAAAAGAAAAUUUCAACAGUUCAGGAUUUUCUUUCUAGAUCAUUUACAAGCAUGAAUAUAUUCUUUCACACACAAGUACAAUAAAUUUACUAUAAACCUGCUAAUCAAUAAUUCUGUUACCUGUCGUUUUCCUCACGAUUUGUAAGCAAUCAAACAGCAUAUCUAGAAUCAAGUCUUAAAGCAGGGCAAUUAAGAAAGGCAAACGAUUAGCUAUGAAAAUGAGAUUGGGAGUGAAAAAACUAUCAUAGUUGUCAAUGAGUAUAAUGGGAUUCUGGCUGUCUUGCUUAGUCUCUGUUAGAUACUAUGCAAAAUAUGUAUGAACAGAAAGAUAAACUAUAGUGUAAUUCUUUAAUCAAUAUUCCCUCUCUUGAAUGAACAUAUUGAUGAAGUUUAUAUAACUGCUCCUAACCAACUACUUAACAGAUUUGAUAACAGACUAACAAUCUUUAUACUAUUGUUUAACAGUCUCCAACACUGAAAAGGCUGAAUACGGUACAGCUGACGGCGUUGAUAAUUUUCCAACAACCCCACUUCUCUUUGUUAGCAAGAAACCAACUCCUGCAAAACACAACAAAGAAAAAAACAGAAAAGAACCUUUCUUUGAUUACACAGUACACCCAAAAAAAUUCGAUAGAAAAGAAGAUAGAGGAAGAGAGAGACUUGAUGGAGGAGAGAGCCUGGAUAGUUGAGGCAGAGAUGGAUUUUGAAGGGUUUUAAGAGAAAGUGAAGGUUUUGGUUGAACCAGAGAUGAUUGCAUAACAAAAUUAACAGCCAUUUUUCUUCUAAACAAAGAAACAAAGCAAAGUAGUUUUUUUUUUCAAGGCGCUAGGACUCUGAGAGGAAGGUUUAUCAGUUUCAGUCUUAUGUCUUGCAGGGAUUCUGCUUUAUAGAAAAAUAAGUUGCACAAUGUUCUCCACAUGGCCGUCAGUUAUCUAGAAAAGCAAUGUAAUUGGACAAGUUUUUGUUCUCUUUUAGGUGAAUUGCCAAAUCCUCCUUAGAUGCUUUCCAUGCCUCAAAUCUGAAUGGGAUUCAAUUAAAAAUAUAUACACUCUUGACUCAAUGAAAAUUUAACAAGGACCUAUUUCUUCUGAGUACAUAAAUUAAUGGGUUUUCUUUUGACAGGUGAGAUAGAGAUGAGUUUUGAAGGGAUUUAACAAAAAGGGAAGGUUUUGGUUGAACCAGAGAUGAGUUGGUAGUACAAUAUAACUGACUUGGAGUCUCAUUGAAAAGAGAAUAAAAUGGCAAUGUAUGUUCAGUUUCGAUCAUCUGGGGACAUAAUUAUCAUUUCUAUCUUCAUAAACAAAAAGAAAAAUGGAAAUAGAAAUAUAGGCAAAAGAUUAUCCAAUGAAAAAGACUGUUAUGGAAUGCAAUUGUAACUGUCAUUUCAUAUUUCUGUUAAUUACUCUUAAUUACUUUUUAUUGUAAUGUUUUGGUAUUCUUUUAGUAGUACGGUGCGUUUUGUAUUUGAGGGGGGUGGGGGGGUUGGGAAAAACACCGUUUAAGGAAACGGUGUAAUUUUGGCAAUGAUUAUUCUGCCAACUGUUACCAUCCGUUAUUCUGCUUUUCUUAAUAGCCAAUUAGAGAGAGCAGAGGUAGUUAUGAAAUUUGAAAACCAUAUUCAAUUUUCUUCUCUCUCGUUUCUCUCUUUCUCACCUUCUAUUUUCUUAAAUUUCUUCUUUCAAAAUCACCUCGCCACAAAUGUAUCAGAGCCUCGUCGAUUCUCAUGGCUACUGAGGGCAUUACAACCAGGCUUCAGAAAGAUAUGACACUGAUUCAGAAUGAGCUUACAUAGUUGCAAGCAAAGUUCAAUCAACUGAGCAUAAGGAUUGAUGCACCUCUUAAGGACUUCCAGGAAAGAAUUAAUAAUGAGGUUCGUUCUGAGGUAAGAUCCGAGCUUCGUUCAAAGCUCCACUCUCUGUUUGAGCAGUACUUUAGCCAAACUCCUCUUAUUGUGGUUACUGGUUUGGUUUCAAACAAAGGAAAGGGAAUUCUAGGCGAGAGUCCUCCAGGAUUUCCAUCAAGAGAACAAUUUGUUGUGUCUCCCAUACUAGAUCUGAGACAUACUGGUGCGUCUUCUCGUGUGAGCAGCUUGGAUGUUGGGAGUACUCUUUUCAGAGUAGAUUGUCCUCAUUUUUAUGGGAGUAAUUUUCGAAGGUGGUGGUCUAAGUUUGAAAAGUACUUCGAAUAUGAGGGGGUAGGAGACCAUGCUAGAGUUCCGAGUGGUGAUGUUGCAUUUGGAAGGGAAGGCAUUGGAUUGGCAUCACUUCUUUGUCCAGACGCAGGGAGAGUUACAUCAAGUAACCUGGGAUCUAUAUGCCAAUGGCCUGAAUGAGCGCUUUGGAUCUGACUCAUUCCUUGAUCAUAUGGCUAAACUUGUCUCACUCAGGCAACAAGGAUCUGCCGAUCAGUUUCAUGAUGGAUUUGUAAGUUUCCUGAAUCUAGUCCACUUGCCUGAAGCAUAUGCACUAAGCAUUUUCACAAGUAAUUUAAAACCUGAGACAAUACCUUAAGUUGUUCAAGCCACAAACCUUGGUUGAAGGGGUACAUUUUAGCUAGACAGGUGGAAAAUAUUGUCUUAAGACCUUCUAGGAAGUGAUUACUUGUGAAUAAUGCAGUAGGCCCUUGUAAACCUUUAUUGCUUGUUUCCAGAAUGCAUCAUGGUAAUGGGGGCCUUUCACCAGUAGGUGGUUCUGGUGGUGUGGUCAAUACUGGUCAACGAGUCCCCACUAAAUCUCUUUCUCAAGCCGAGAUGGAUGAUAGAAGGAAGAAAGGGCUUUGUUUUUUGUAUGGCUCCAAAUAUACACUAAGACACAAAUGCUCCAAAUCCUAAUUAUAUCAGCUUAUCAUUGAACCAUAAGUUGAUCAUGAUACUGAUGCCAAAAGUCCUACUUCAGAGGAGUUCCAAGACUGUCCUGACCAAUUAGAGGUAGCAGAUCAAAUGGUUGAGAUUCCUACUCUAGUGUUGUCUUUACAUGCUCUUCAAGGGUCACAAGGGCAGAAUACUAUGACAUUUUGUAUUUGAGGGGGGGAAUCAACGAUUGCUUAAACGUCUCGUUUUGGGAAAAACACCGUUUAACGAAACAUUGUAGUUUUGGCAAUGGUUAUUUUGCCAACUGCUACAAUUCGUUAUUCUGCUUUUCUUAAUAGCCAGUUAGAGAGAGCAGAGAUAGUUAUGAAAUUUGAAAACCAAAUUCAAACCUUCUAUUUUCUUAAAUUUCUUCUUUCAAAAUCACCUCGCAACAAAGACACGUAGUUUUGAAGAUGCAAUCAAACCUGGCAAAGAUAAUCAGCGAAACUAUAAUAGUUAUGAAUGAGGAUAAUGGGAUUCUUAGUGUUUUACUUACUCUCCAAACACUGAAGAGGUUGAAUCCGAUGCCAAUGAUGUUUUCUCAACAGUCCCACUUCUCUUUCUUACCAAAAAACCAACUCCUGCAAAACAACACAAAAAGAACCUUUCUUUAAUUACACUGUACAUAAAACCAAAAAAAAAAAAAAGAAUAGGGAGAGAGAGAGCGUGGAUAGGUGACAUAGUCACAUAGAUGGGUUUUGAAGGGUUUUACUAGAGAAUUGAAACAAUUUGGAUCAAGGCCCGAGGAAUGAAUUAGAACAAGCUAAGGACAAAUUUAUAAGAAGCUCAAACUAAGAAGGAAUUAUAUUGGAAAUAUCCCGAAACAGAAAAGAAAAUUUCUUACCCCCAGCAAGCCUACGCUUUUACAGAGAAAUCCCUAAGAAAUUAUUUUCAUCUUGCACGGAAAAAAAAUCUCCAUCUUCUUCCAUCUCACACCGCAAGCCUACCCUUUACGCCCUCUUCUUCUCUUAAAACUCUAUAACCAUGGAUUCUAUAUCCUUUUAAAAUAUAAAAAUCAAAAUACUCCCAUAAAUAUUCUACCCUAUAAAAGCCCCAACACAAAGUUUUCCAUCCCUUUGCUGUCACUGAAAACAACCGAAACCUUUCCCCUUUUACUCUGAUUUGGCUUCCAGUUAUCGACUAGUAUUAGUAAUAGAACAAGUAUCAGAGAGAGAGAGAGAGAGAGAGGAAUGCCGCUAGGGAAGUAUUACUGCGACUAUUGCGAUAAGCAAUUUCCAGACACUCCUGCUGCUCGAAAACGCCACUUGCAGGGCCUCCAGCACCUCCGUGCCAAAGCUCAAUGGUUCCACUCCCAAAACGCCCAAGGUACUCUCUCACUCACUGCUUUUCUCCCAACUCCCCUACUUCCUGCUUUUUUAUUCACAUGCUUGUGAUUGCAGAUCUUUAUCAAACUUCGGUACCACCCUUUUCGAAAGGCGUCUGCAAUCGCUUCCUUAAUACAGUAAAUAUCCCUCUCUUCUCCUCUUGGAAUGCCAUUUUUGUUUCUUUUUUACUUCAAUCAUAUAAUAUUCAAGUGCACUUGGUUUUCCUGUUUUAGGGAUUUUGCCAGUACGGAGAUAACUGUAAAUACUUCCAUCCCAACAAUGAUUCUCGGACCCCAAAUCCUCCACUUUCAACUGCACCACCAGGUUUUUUUUUCUCCCUCUGUUUUAUUAAUUCAUAUUUGGUUAUGCAGUGCAAUGCAAGUAAGGAUGGGUUUUGUUUAUAUUGUUAUAGGUGGUGUAGAGGGAAAUGGAAAUGGUAUGACAAUAUCGUGGGGUAAUCUGCCUCCAUCCUUAAAGCCCCCACCUGAGGCUGGAUAUCCACCUCUUCCUUUUGUGGAUUGGGGAUAAACUCUCUCUCUCUCUCUCCCUUGCUCUGUUUCUAGACACCAAUUUCCUCAUUUAGUUUCUUCAUUUGUUAAAGCUGUAUCUUCUUGUUUAUAUUAUUAUUACAUAUUAGAUCACCCACUUUCAUUUCCCUGUUCUUCCUCCUUUUACAUUUCUUGUCAUCAUGAGUAUGUCAAUACCUUGAUAAUGGGAAUUCAUUAUAUUACACAACACAAUUGUCUAACAAAUCUAAAAGGUGAAGUGUUAUGGUUCAAUUGAUCCUUGGUUCAGUUUAGUUUGUGCAUUAUAGGAACAAAUGGUAAGAAUGCAAGUGAGAGUAUGAAUGUUGUAUGAUUAGGUGGCGGAAUUUUAGUAGACUUCCAAAGUCUAUCCAUAAGCUUCAGAGCUUACUGACAUUUAGAGAUUAUUUGAUGUUUCAAAGCUUCAAGUGCCUGUCUGAUCAACCUCGUAUUCGUAGAGGAAAUUCAACCUGGUAAUUGGAAUUCGCUUCAGUUCUUGCACUUCUUUGGUUGCUAAGGCAUUGAAAUAUUUUGUUUAAAGGGAUGCAAAACCUCUCGUCUCUUAAAUUUCUGGCUGAGUUGCUGUACAAGUCUGAAAUUAGAGGAAAUUGCAAUGGGAGGGAUCUCUGUCUGGGUUGCUCUUACCCAUUUGGAGGUCAUUGAAAUCUGGGAUUGCCCCAACUUUGAGGCACUGGUUUCAUAAGAUUUUAUUUUAUUUUAAUUAAUUUAUAAAAUGUUUAUAUAUUUAGGGUCUGUUUGAUUGCCAGUAAAAUAUUUUUCGUAAAAUGAUUUCUGGAAAAUAUUUUACUUUUCUGUAAAAUGAUUUACUGGAAAAUAUUUUUUGGUGUUUGAUUGAAUCUGUGUAAAAUAUUUUCUGCUGCUUGGCAGAUUUUUUGAAAAUAUUUUUCGGAAAAGUUAUUUUUACAUAUAUUAAUAUAUAUUAAUAAAUUUUUAUAUUUUAAAUUAUUUUUACAUAUAUUGCAAUGAUUUAUUUAUAAUAAUACUCAAUUAUUAAGUUACAAUAUUAAUCGUUAUAAAUUGAAAAAAACUAAUAUCAAAUAAAUUAUUUGUAAUUGUGUUAAAAAAUAAGUAUUGAAUAAUUAAAAAAACAAGUUACUGGAAAAUCGAUAAACAGAAGCAGUUUUCUACCGGAAAUGAAGGAAGGAAUGAAGGAGGUGAUAGAGAGGAGAGUACGCAAAAUGUCUUACGGAAAUUGAAAGGGUAAGACAUUUUCCCUAAAAUGUAACCCAUUUUCCUUUGUUUUAGAGUUCAUUUUCCAAAUGGAAAAUAUUUUCCGCCAAUCAAACGCUGGAAAAGUUAGAAAUGAUUUUCCGGAAAAUCAAUUCUAUCAAUCAAACAGACCAUUAGUUUAGAAUCCAUUUUGAUUAUAUGUAUGUAACAUGCCCCAGAAUUUUCUAAUUUCUUUUAAAUGAUGUAUAUUUGAAACAAGUUGAUUUUUAGAAGAUAUAUCUAAUUCAAUUAGAAAAAUAAGAAUAAAUUUUCAUUUUUUUUAUAUAUUUUUAGUUUUAAAGUUUUUAUCUACUUUUUUUAUACGAAAUAUUUAAAUGAUUUACAACAUAUUAUUUGAUGUAUUGAUUUUAGCUAUUUUACCACUUUAGUCUUUAAACUUACAUUGUUUGUUAAAUCACUCCAAAAUAAAUGGAAAAAUUAAUGUUUGUUAAUUUUGUUGAUAUGUCAUACACGUGACAUAUCAGUUAUUAAAUAAUUUUAAAAAUUUUAAAAAGUUCAAGUAUUAAAAUUUUAUAAAGUAUUAAAAUUGUUAAAAAAGUACAAAAAUAUUUUUUAAAUUUUUAGAAAAUUAAUUCAUUGUUAACACGUGACAAUCCACGUUUAUGUCAUAUCAGCAAAGUUAACAAACGUUAACUUUUUAUACAUUUUUGGGUGAUUUGACAAAUAAUGUAAGUUCAAGAGCUAAAAGAGGUAAAAAAAUUAAAUAGUGGACUAAAAUAACUUUCUUUUCUUGUAAAGAUAGAGGACCAAAUAAGUCAUUAUGCCAAAAAAAUAGAACUGAAAAAUCGAUUAAAAUUUGAUAAAUGUUAUAAAAUAAAGAGAGAUGGGGAGAAUAAAGAACAAAGAAAAUAUAAAAGUAACAAAGAAUGUACUUUAUUGAUCAAAAUGGGUGGUUACAAUGUUUCAUCAGUGUCUCUAUUUAUAGGCAUAAGAAGUAUAAAAGAAGUAGAGAUCUAAUUCUAAUAACUAUUAAAAUUUAAAGUAUACCAAAAUUUUAUCUUGAUCGUGAUGGACAUGCUCUUAAUAAGAUAUUCAUAAUACUCCCCAUUGGAUGUCCAUUGGUAAAUAAUGUGACUCAUUAAUACCUUAGGUAAAUAAUGUGCCUCAUUAAUACCUUAUUAGGAAAAACCCUAUGGGAUAAAAACCUAACGAGGGAAAAAGAGUACACAAUCUAUAAUACGUAUAAUAUGUUGCCUCAUUAAAAACCUUACCAGGAAAAUCCAAUGAGACAAAACCUCGGUUAAGGAAAAAAGAAUAUAACGCAUAUUUACUCUUCCUCAUGAAAACAUCACAUAUUUUCUCGUAUUCUACGUAUUCAAAACUUUAUUUUGAUCAUGGUGGACAUCCACUUAAUAAUAUAUUCAUAACAAUAAAAUCAUUUAUACUAUUAUUUAAUCCUGUAAUUGAAUUGUUGUCAUGAGUAAACUAGGUACCCAUUCAAUUAGUGCAAUUAUAAAAAUAUACGUUCAUAAUUAAAAUAAGUUAUAUUAUUCGAAAGCAUUUUCAUCUUUUUAAUUUUAAAAAACAAAUAAAAAUUUACAUGUGGUUAGAUUUGAACUCACGCUAUUUACAUAAAAGGUUAACAUGUAGUUUGCCCUUUAAACUUAUCCAAAAGUAUCUAGUUGGUACUUGAACUUUUUUACCUAGUUGGUACGGGUACCUAAACUUGUAUUCUGUCACCCAGGCUGGUACCUCCUCACUAACACUGUUAGUUUGUGUUGACAUGUACUGAUAGCCAAUAUAGUGGUGACACGUGGUAGCUUCUCAAUAUGGCAUGUGAUGAGCAUAAAUUUUAAAAAAAAACUUUAAAAUUAAAUUAAUUAAUAAAAAAGUAUAAAUUUUUAUCUAGGUUCAUCCUUGAUAUGAAUAAAAUUAUAUUUUUUAUUAAUUUAUAUAUUUUUAAAUUUAUAUCUACCACGUGGCAUACUGAGAGGUUGUCAUACGUCACCAAUAGAUUGGCUAUCAAUGCCACGUUAGCAUAAACUAACGGUGUUAUUGUAGAGGUAUCAACCUAGAUGACAGAAUACAAGUUUAGGUAUCAACUAAGUUCAAGUACCAACUAGGUACUUUUGGACAAGUUCAAUGGGUAAACUACAUAUUAACCCCUACAUCAACAAAACAUUUAACUUUACCAUUAAACCAAAGCUUUAUUGUAAUAUAAUUUUUACAUUUUAAUUGUAUUAUGCAUAUUAUUUUCCCAUCAAUUGUAUAUAUUGAUAAUAUUGUUAAGUGACUUGGUGUCACAAGUCAAAGCAACACUAGCUUAAUAUUGAUGACAACACUGUGAUAUUAUUUAUGUAACGACCCAAUUUUUAGUGGUAUCGAAAAAUGUGGUUUUGGGACCCCAUUUGCGUAACCCAAAUUCGUAAAUAUUAAAUAGGGAUAUUUAUGGAGUUAGUGUAUAGAUUAAUUAAAAUUUGGAUAAGUAAUUUAGCUGAAAUUGUGAUUAAUUAGACCUAGGGACUAAAUUGUAGAAGAUAUUGAUUAAUUGUGAUUAAUUGUGACUAAUUUGCGUAACCCAAAUCCGGUUUUAGGGACUAAAUUAAAUAAAUUAUAAAAUUUGUGUAAUUUGGUAUUUGAUUCUAAUUAGGCUAGAUAUUGAUUGUAUAAUAUGUUUUAUAAUUAUUUGUAGCUAAUGACAGUACCGAAUAGCUGAGAGGGAAAGGAAAAGCAAAAAUCAUUGACGAGUGAUGCAUGAAACCUUGAUUUGUACUUUUAUGAUUCAGGAUAGAAAUAUUUGAUUUCAUAUGCAUGUUUAUUGGUUGUUGAAUUAUUGAGGUGAGUUUAUUAUGAUAAUAUGAAAUAUUUUGAUUGAAUUUGAUAUGAAAUAUCAAGAUUAGAGAAUUAAAAUGAAUAAAAUAGGAAAUGAUAUGAAAUACUUAAAUUAUGAUAUGUGAUAUAAAAAUUAUAUCGAAAUAUAAUUUUUCAACUUAUUCUUUUGCCUAUCUAAAUAACUGUUUGAACAACUAUUGCACCAGAUUUAAUUUUCCACAAGUCAUUUUUCAACUUGAAAUAGUAAGGCCUAAUAUAACUAGCCUUCACACAAUAAUGGAAAACCAUUCUCCUUGUUUUAUUCCUCCCUUUCAUAUUGUUGCAAACAUGUUGCUGUCUAAGUGAUGUUCUGUUCAAUAUUGCAACAUUAGAUUGAACAGAUCUUAUUUUUCUCCACCUUUGAUCUUUCAUCAGCUUGUAACGAUAAGAUCUAAUAUGUUUGGCCUUUCCACAAUACUAACAAACAUAUUUUCUAUUAUUCUUUUUACUUGUCUUAAAAGAAGAAAUAACAACCAUAUUUUAUAUCUAAUAAAAUUCCUAGGAGAUAUAGGUUUCUUACCAAGUUCAAUUUGACCAAGUUCGAAUCUCCUGACAACAAAUAUCUCAUCACUUUGGCUUUCACAUUUCUUGAGAGUGGCUUCGACAUCAUUUAACUCUUACUCAUUUGUUUUCAAAGUUGCAUCUUUUUUUUUAUAUAGUUUUAUCAAGCAUUUCAUUAGCUUUUUUAAAAUCAACAAUCAUAUCAUAUCUUUUUUACCACAGUUUCAAGUCUUUAUUAUUUGGCUAAACACAUCCUUUAGGUUGAAAAAAACAUCAUUUUCAUUUUCUAAUUUAAUGCUUUAAUCACCAAUUGGACGUGUGAUAGAACCACCUUUCUUAUUGGACUUCAUUAUUGCAAACCGUAGUUUAGGAUCCCUUUCAAGUAUGUUUGAAGUCAAGCUCUGAUACCAAUUGCAAUAACCUCGAUUUGCUUUGUGUUCAAUUCGAUAUUCAGAUAGUAUGUUUAGACAAUAUGUUCAAACAAAUGUUAGAAUAGAACAUAGACAGUAUGCAAAUAAGAGAAUAAGAGAAACAAACACAAGAAAUUUAUUAACACAAUUCAGAUUCACCAAUCCUACUUUGCAAAACCUUACUUAGUAAAUGAUUUUAUUCAACAAUUGAUCUAGUAACCUAUUGACUAAAUCUCAAUGUACCCUUACACAAAGAAGUGAUUGUAGCCCCAAUAACUAACCCCGACUUGUUACAAAUCAUUCACCCAAAAAACCUCACAAUACAACUAGUAAAACUCUCCAAUAAGCCUACUAAAUGAGUGCAAAAAAUAAAAGGAAAAAUAAACUAAAUCAGCACAAGCAAUCUCCUAGCUUUCUCUUCAACAUGCAAAUUGAUGCCUAUUUAUAGGCCAAAUAAGGCAACCUUCAAGAUCAGAUUUUGUAGAGAUAAAUACUUCAAUUUGGUGCAUAAUAAUUCAAGAUAAAAGCCUCCAAAAAUUAUCCCAAAAUACAACCUUAUCAUUAAGUAAAAUCAUCAGCUUAACCAUAAAUAGCUUAAAGGAUAAAGAUAAAUAUAAGCAUUAUCCAAUAAGGCAAGUCGAUCAAAUCAUCCUUAAGCCACCAAUUUCGAUUAUCAUGGUUUGAGAUGGAUUACAAUACAUCUUGGAAUCCAUUUGCUUAUGGUAAAAUCAUGUGUAAAGGAUCUCGUGUCUGAACAAGUGUUUAAAUAGUUGUUUAAACAUGUUUGUUUGAACAAGAGUCGAGUCAUCAGUCUUGAAAAGCUUUGGUCUUAACAAGUUAGUCGACUAUUUUAAGUAAUUUACUUUUUAAAAUAUGUAUUUUUAAUUUUGGUGUGAAUUUUUCCUUUAAUUUUAUAAAAUUAUUAGAUUAUGGCAUGUUUAAUAUAGGUGAAUAUAUUUAUACAAAAUUCAUAUAAGAUUAAAACGAAGCUUUAGUUAAAUUAAUAAAAAAUCAAAUAUCUUGAUAAUAAUGAUUUGAUAUUACAUAUGCAUCUUUGUAUUUUUUUUAUAGUGAACAAAUAUGAUAUAUUUUUCUCCUUUUUAUCUUUUAAAUGUACAAAAAUAUCGAGGUUUAAAACAAUGUUAUUUUAAAUUAUUUUCAAAACCGAUGAACAGAACCAAGGGCAAAAUCAACAAAUUUUUUAGAGGCCAAAAUUUAAUUGUAAUUUUUAUGAUGGUAAAAAUUACAAUUUCAUCAUUGUGAUAGCCUAUAGCUUUAUAGUUUUUAAAUGAAUAAAUCCAAUUUUUAUAAUUUUAGAAGGACUAAAGUGUAAUUUUAUCUUUAUUAAUUUAAAAUAAAUGUCUAAAUGAAUUUUUCGAUUUUAGAGGAUUGGGCCUGUGACCCCUAGUUUCUCCAUGAAGAGAACCAUUGUCAACUCUAGCUUCCGAACAAAUUAUAUGAAAAGAACUAAAAUCUCUGAAAACAUAUAACACAGGGACCUAAUAUAGAAUUAGACCAAACUGAUAAAGGAAAUCAAGCUAGAAAACUGUAGGGGGAUUUACAUACUUGCAGCGAGUCAGCAAUUUUCUAUCUCGCAGUUUCCUCGGGACUUUCAUUUGAAAAAGAAAAAAGGAGUUCAUUACUUCUCUGCUUCAGCUACUCCUUGUAACGAUUUUUCUUUUCCUUUUCAAUUUGGUCCUUUCAAUUUUCUUGUUGGAUUUGAAGCAGUAAUCCUUUUCCGAAUCGUUGAAUUCCUCUGUGAAAAUUUCUGAUCGGUGUUUCAUCGCUCCGUUGAAGAAUGCCGUCGUCGCCACGAAAGAAUUAGUAAAACGGAAAACAAACGGAUAAAACUAGAAUGCGAACCAUUUGCGACGUCUGCGACAGCGCCGCCGCGAUCAUAUUCUGCGCCGCCGACGAGGCUGCUCUCUGCCGUUCCUGCGACGAAAAGGUCUAUUUUAUCAUUUCAUUGCCAUUUUAGUACAAUUAAUUGAUAUCCGCAUAUUUAUACACGUCUACGUAUAUAUGUAUACUUGAUGUACUCCAAAUUCUGUAUAUUCCUAAAUUAGCCGUAGUUUAUAUAUAUAAUUAUUUCUGAAAUUAAAUCAAUAAGGAAACUUUUUAUUGGGAGUUUUUAGGUUCACAUGUGUAACAAGCUUGCCAGCAGACAUGUCAGAGUUGGUUUAGCCGACCCCAGCAAUGUCCCACGCUGUGAUAUAUGUGAAAAUGCACCUGGUAUAUAUAUGUCCUUUUUAAUUGUAUAAUUAUUGUGUAAACUACAGUUUUUUGGAAAUUUGUUCAUUUGUUGAUAUUUUUGUACGUAGCUUUCUUUUACUGUGAAGUGGAUGGUAGUUCCCUUUGCCUGCAAUGUGAUAUGAUUGUACAUGUUGGAGGUAAAAGAACCCAUGGGAGGUAUCUCUUGUUGAGGCAGAGAGUUGAGGUUUGUCACUCUUUAGUAGGCAACAUUUUAUGUUUUCAUGUAAUUUUUGGAAAGCCUGCUAAAAUUCUUCCUUUGCUUGUAGUUUCCAGGGGAUAAGCCUGGUCGUUUGGAGGAACCAGGUUUACAACCGUUCAGUCCGAAUGAAGUAAGGAAGGAUCUGAAUCAGCAGUCAAAGCUUGCAGUGAGAGAGAACCGGCAAAACCAUGGAGUCUCUCAUGUUCCAUUGCAUGAUGAUAAUGCUAAGGCUGAUGGAGAGGUAGGAAAUGAGUUGAUUGAUCUAAAUGCCAGGCCACAACAGGUGCAGGGGCAAGCUUCGAUCAAUCAGGUAUCUUCGAUUGACUAGCUUUUUUCGUUCUUUGGACUUGAUUGAUGAGGUGACUGUUUUGUUUUUUAAGGAGCAAGCCAUGGAUGUUUCGAGUGGCAAUUAUCAUGACACUACUAGUGGGAUCCCUGAUGGAUCCUUCAAACAAGAGCCUGAAAAAUGAGCUAGGUAUAACUAUUAUCCCCUACUUAUACUGUUGACUUUGUUUAAGAGCAUUGCAACCAUGUGGCUCUAAGAUUUUUCUGUUUUUAUGUGCAUUUCUUGAUAAUUCAUUAUAGAUGCUCAUUAUGUAUUUGAAUCUGUGUGAUAUCAAAUUAAUGAAGUGUACAAAUAAUUAAUAGGAUUUCCCAAGCAGGUUGGCUUCCUUUCACACGACAUUGGUGCUUAGAUAUUAUUUUAAAAGACUUGUCUGGUUUUUCAAAGUAGAGCUUGACCUGCUGAGCAAUUCCUGAUUCUCAUAGUCAUAUGAGAAACAGAUGGAUCGGCAUCUAGUUGUUUAUGAAAUAUUAAACUACAGAGUAAGAAUGUCUAGGCUUUUCUAUUAGGGGCAAGUUCUGCGUUUUUGAGAGAAAUGGUAUCCUGUGCAAGUAAUCUUUAACCUUCAUGCACGUGGAAAGUCAGCUUCUGCUGGCCUAUCUGUCUCAUGGUUUGUUUCUCUUAUUUAGGCUCGUGUCGAACAAAACUAGUCCGUCUGGUUAUAGGUUUAUACAAAAACUAUAGUGCUAUCAUUUUCUACUGGCAAAAGGAUAUAAUUUUGAUGAAAAAGCAAUAAUGUUUUGUUACUGAAGUUGAUUGGUCCUUUGUUUGUGAUGAACUUCCCAUGGCUAAAGCUUCCUUUCUUUUAAGUCCAGAUAUUGGAUCAAUUUACACCUCAAGUUUUGUUGCUAUCAUGUCUGAGAUUUUCUUAAUAAAUCACACAACUACCAUGUUUGUUAGCUCAUUUUUAUCAGGGCAUUUGCUUUGAUUCAAGUCUAUGACAAUUAAGAGUAAGACAAACAACUGGGAAAUAUAGUCGCUUAAACAAGUAGUAACUGUUGCUAGGUCUACAAUUUCUCUUACGUUCCCCUCAAAACAUGCACACACAUAUAUGCACACACACAAACCUUUCUUUCUACUCCUUUGAUAAUUGAAUGAGGUUUCUUAUCAAAUAAUGUUGUCCAAAUUUUUGGCUGCUGUAGAUAUAGCUGGAUCAGUUUUCUCACAUCUAUGUAUUUAUUGAGUAAAGCGCUUGCCUUUGUCAGAUAUGUCUUCCUUCCCCAUGGAUUAGUCUCUGUCUAUUCAAUUCCUUUACACAAAUGAAAACUUUUGAAGAAAACUUUUACCCAUGUACCAAAAUCAACAUUCUUGCUUAACCGAAAAUAGUUGUGACAUUUAUGCUUGUUUGAAUUGCCAACUAUACAUCCUUUGUGAAUGACCAUUCAUUUAAAUUUCCUGAACAUUAUUGCUGGUGUUAGUAACUGUAUGAAAUUGAAUAACAAAGAAUAAUUUGGAAAAUAGAAUGAAUGACUGAAUAUUCUAGUAUUAUUAACUUGCUUGGAUCAGUACAACAAUAGGACUUAUAUACUUGAGUGAGACUAACUGCUGCUAACCAAUCUACUAACAAUAUGCCAGUCUGUAUAACAGAUUAAUAACAACCUAACGUAUUCUUAUACUCUAACAGCUGGUGAUUACAAUGACUAGUUGCCAUCAAAUUUUAAGUGGGAAAUAGAAGAGUAAUGGAGGGGAAAUUUUCACUUUUGAAAGGAAAAAUUCCCCCUCUUGUUUCUCCGGAAAAUUUCUUUUCUUUUUUGGUUCGAAUUUUGGGGCCGGAAGCAGAACAAGCAGUGGGAGACUAUGAAUCAUGUUGCUCUUACACCCCUUCUUAGUGGCAUCCAAUUUUACCUUUGUUUAACUUCCAUUAUGGCGUUUCUUCUACUUUUGCCACACUCCAAUAGCAGCUGAAUUUUUUUUGAUGGAAUCCAAUAAUAAGAUGGAGAAAUAUUAUGAAAAACACAGUUUAAUUGUGUAAGUAGAUCCGUCUAUGGAUUGGGUGCACUCAGGCACGUGUAAGUCUAUUUCAAUUUUUAUGCAUAAUGAUCCAUCCUCUUAAAGUUAAAAAUUCCUCGGAAAAUGGAUCGAUCAUUAAAAGAGAAUCUGUUUCUCUUAUAAUUUGAGCAAAUCAUUUCAUGUCCAAUUCUUGAUUCAUUUUUGAACGGAUUUUUUUAGUCCAACAUUUCCAAGCAGACAUCAUCAAGCAGGAUCGAGAAAUGGUAAUGCGGAAGUUAAUCAGAUCAGUUUACCCUAAUUUUUCGGUGGCUAAAAUGCAGAUUCAAGCUUGUUUUAGUAUUUAUGAUGAUGCAUUUAUAAGUAAUCUCAUCAGCAAGAAGUUUAUUUAACAGUACAUUGCAAUCCAGAACAAAAAGUAGUCUCCAGAGCCUAUAAAACAUUCAACACAAAGAGAAAGAAACCAUAUCAUGAAAUCUCCAUCAUCUCAGCUAAAGCUUUGUUUGCAGCAGCUUAGUAGACGUAGCCCUUUACGAACAUUCCUUUCUUGGCCUCUUCUGAUUCUCCCUCGCCGGUGUAUUUCCCGAGCUGAGCGAGUGAGUUGGCUUUGGCACGGACAAGGAGUGCAUCCUGAGCAGCCUUAACGUUCUCGGGUCUGCCUCCCCAUGUCUUCAAGCAAGUGUUCUGGAGAGCUCUGGCAUACGAGAACGAGACGUGCCAUGGGUUUGGAGAUUGGUUCAUUGCGUUCAAGUUGAGGGUUGCUUCAACCUCGGAUUGUCCGCCAGACAAGAACUGCACAACAGAAACGGUUUGUCCAAUCCGUUAGUACGGUUCAUUUUAUUAUUUCACAAUGCUUUCGUAUAGAAAAUGUACCAUGAUUCCAGGAACAGCUGGGGGGAUUCUCCUGUGGAGGAGCUUGAGGGUGUAAUCAGCAACUUGCUGUGGGGUGGCCUUGUCUUUGCAUUCAGCACCAGGAGUGACCAUGCUGGGCUUGAGAAGGAUGCCCUCAAACAUGACAUUGUUCUCAGCAAGGUAGAAGAAAACCUCAGCCCAAACCUUCUGCGCUACUUCGAAAGUCCUAUCAAUUCCAUGGUCACCAUCAAGCAAGAUUUCCGGCUCCACAAUCGGGACCAGUCCACUGUCCUGCAACACAAUGGCCACAAAAAUCACUUCUCGACAACAAGUAGCAUACACAUAAUGAUUGCUCCACAGCUUCAUCUAUCAACUUACUUGAGAAAUGGCGGCAUAGCGAGCAAGUCCCCAAGCUGCUUCUUUCACUGCCAAGGCAGAUGGACCAUUUGGAAUGCUCACAACAGUACGCCUGUCCGAUCAAAAAGAGCUAAUAGAGUUAUACAAGAAUCCUUUAUUUCAACACUGCAUAAUAUGGUUGAGAAGUCAUCGAACCAUUUGGCGAAACGAGCACCCUGCUGGUAGUAGGCAGCUGUGCGGGAUGAAAGACCGUCAAGACCUUGGCACCAUGACUCGUUGUUGGAACCAGGGAGUGGAACCAAACCCUGUUAUUUUGUUUACCAAAUCAUUCAGUUCCAAGUAUCCUCUAUAAAGAUAUGAAUUUGUGGGUGCUUUUUGGUUAAGCUUUAUACCUUGUCAACUUUGAUACCAGGGACAAUCUUUUGCUCAACAAGAACAUCGACCAUCUUUUUCCCAUCGAUGGUAGAUUGGUAGAGAGUCUCCUCGAAAAGGAUAGCUCCCGAGAUGUAGUCACCGAGGCCAGGGGCAGACACGAGAAGGGUACGGUAAGCUUGCCGGUUUGCCUCGGUAUUCUCGAGACCAAUCGAGGCAAGCCGUUUCCCACAUGUAGCAUUUGAUUCAUCCAUGGCCAGAAUACCACGACCUGGAGAUGCAACAGUUUUCUACAUCCAAACAAGAAAUAAUAUUUAAGCAUGCACGAGAUAAAAAUACGAUUCAAGACUACAUUAAUUCUAAUUAAGUACCGCGGUCUUAACAAGCUCAUCGGCAUAUGAACUAGCACGGACGGCAAAGGCGGCCGAUGUAGGGUGUGACCGUACAAAACAAACCGAAGGGUGGCGGAGGUUUUGGCCCUUAAUCCACUCGGACUUGUCGAUAAUAGGUGAAGACUUGAGGAGAGUAGCGGAAGCAGAAGCCAUUUUUCUUGGGCUUUGAGAGGGCUAAUCAAUGAAGCAAGUCGAAGGGGCUUUAUUAUGUUUAGUUUUUCACUAUAAUCUUAUCUCUUCAAUCCUGGCCUUCCUUCACCACACAUGCAAGUCUCACUCACUGGAUUUUAUACUUGCGUUUGUCUAUACUAUCACUAUACCAGAAGAUGUCGCAUUUGAGGCUGUCGUGCUCCGACCAAUGCCCUUGUGCCAUGUAGAUGAUAAUUUUGCACACUUGGCCGGGAUGCAUUCCGUGGUUGAUAUGGAUGAUUCUAUACUCACCUCGUAAAACAUUGUUUCAAAUAGGUUGAUUUUUUUCCCUUUUUUUCAAUUUGCUUUUAUUUUUUAUUUAAUUUAAAAAAAAUUUAAAGGUUUACUAUAACAUUUGUUACCUGAAUUUGACACUUUUUUCUAUUUUGGUACCUAAUUUUUUUGGUCCAAUUUGAUAUUCAAACUUGACUCAUUUUUCUAAUUUGAUACCUAAUCUUUUUUUGGUUCGAUUUGGUACUUGUCAAAUGUUUUACAAAUUACUCCAAUAUCUAACAAUGUUAUUCUUUUACAAGGUAGCAAAAAUAAUCAAUGUAUUUUAUAUGUUCAAUUACUUUUAGUUUUAUUUAAUUAAUUAUUUUAUUAAUUGAAAAUAAUGAAUUUCUUUUAAUUUGGAGUUUUUUAAAAUAUUUUUUUCUUAUUUAAUACUAAUUCAUUAACCAUAGUCAAAUAUCUAGUUUUUUAACAUGAAUUUCCUAUAACACUAAGGGCACGUUUGGUUCACUGUAUUGAAUUAGAGGUGUAUUGGAUUAGAGGUAUAAUGGAAUAGAGGUGUAAUGGAAUAGAUGUGUAAUAGCAAAUCAACUGUUUGGUUGAAUGUAAUGGAAUAGAGGCGUAAUAGUAAUCUUGUGUUUGGUUGAAUAGAAUAGAGGUGUAAUAGCAUAAUGGAAAAAACUAAAAUGACUAGAAUACCCUUAGCAUAAAUUUGUUUUGGUAUAUGAUUAUUGUUAUUGUUAUUUAAAUUUUAAUAAUAUUAUUAUUAUCAAUAAUAAAUAAUUUAAUCAUAUUUAAACAUAAUUAUUAUUAAAUAUAUUUUAAUUAAAAUAUAUAAUUUAAUAAAAUUCUUAAUAAUCAAUAUUCUUAUAUGAAUUUACUCAAAUCAUAAUAUAUGAUACUAUAAAAUAUAAAUUAACAUAAUUAUUAUUAAAUAUAUUAUAAUUAAAAUAUAUAAUUUAAUAAAAUUCUUAAUAAUUAAUAUUCUUAUAUGAAUUUACUAAAAUCAUAAUAUAUGAUACUAUAAAAGAUAAUUUGAAAUAAUUAAUAUUAAAUAUAUUUUAAUUAAAAUAUAUGAUUUAAUAAAAUUUAAAAUAAUUAUAACUAAUAAAUUAUCUUAUAUGAAUUUGUAUAAUUUAAAAUAAUUAUUAUUACAUAUAAUUUAAUAAUAAUAUAUAAUUUCAUAAAAUUCUUGAUAAUAAAUUUUCUUAUAUGAAUUUAUACAAUUUAAAAUAAUUAAUAUUAAAUAUAAUUUAAUAAUGAUAUAUAAUUUCAUAAAAUUCUUAAUAAUAAAAUGUUCUUAUAUGAAUUUACUAAAAUCAAAAUAUAACUUAAGAAUUAUAAUCUGCAUAAACACUCAAUCCGAGUUCCAAACAUACGUGCCAAGGAAGACGAUUAUUAAACGUGUCAUUGUAUUAUUUUGGCUUGUUUCAUGUUUAAGUUGAUAAGAGAAUUCUUGGACCGCCAAGAUUUACAUAAAUUAAGUAAAAUUUAGUUUCAACUGUAUCGGUUCAAAACAAGUAAGAUUUGCCAGUCCAUGCUUUGCUGGCUUUUAAGUUUAAAACAGAUGGCAUAUAGCUGACAAUUUUCAUCGAGGAAAACAAGUAGUCUGUUCUACCCAAAAUAUCUCAAGAGUUUUAAACAAAAGGUAGUUAGUUAGAUGUAAACACGCCUUUUCUGAAACCUACAAAUGUCAAUGGCUAGUUCUUAAUUACAAGCAGAUCAUCCUCCUUGCAUAUGGGCACCUAGUUCACCAAACUGAUCAUCAGCUUCCACAGUAUCCUCAGACAGGCGAACUGCAUCCAGCUUCUGUUUCAAGAUUUCUAUAGCAUUAAGAACCAACUGAGAAGCUUUGAUCGCACCAGUGGAUUCAACUGUAAAGAUGAAACUGUCUUCUUUGGCAUAUAUCUCCACAAGACCUGGCUUGCCCAUAGCUUCAGCUUUCUUUAGCACCUCAUCGUCAUAGGUAUACGCCUCUGGAUCAACCACCACAACCUGUUUUCAAGAUAAAAAUAGAAUUCAUAGUUAGCAGCGCCAACAGCAGCAGCAGUGAAAUAGCAUAACCUCCAAUUUUUGGCUCACAAUAUAGGGACUGAACGAAUGCACUCAACAUACAUGAAACAUAUGAUGCUCAAGCAAGUCAGAACAGCUAUCUACACAAAAUAUGAGGCAAAAAACAAAGCACUAAUCAAACGAACUAAUUCCGAAAUGCUCCAACACUCACUGCAAUAAUAGUCAGUAACAACAUUACGGUAUCAUUGGAGACUUCCUAUAGAAACAAGGUUUUCAAUACAGUAAUGGCAGCAGUAGCAAGCAGGCCCCAUUUAAAUGAAAGCAGAAAGAAAUGUAGUUUGACACCUCGUAUCUUUAGCUUUGAGAUAAACACAGGGUGGUAUUAACAGCCCUAAUACAAGGAGAAACACUCCAAUCCAGAAACCUAAACUGAAGCUCAAGUUCCAUCAAUAUCCUCAUGAUUCACAAAAGUAAAAGGCACAUAAGAGGAACUUUUGUAAGAAACAUAUAAAGACAAAAUGCUACUAAAACACAUCCACAUUUUAAGCUCAAGCAAACUAGAAACUCUAAAAGAAAAGACCUUGAUGACGUGCAAAGCAAUUCAAUCCUCCUAUUGGACAGACCAUAGAUGUAAUUAAUCAAAACUAGCAUUUGCUUUAACAAUCCAGAAGCUCUAGUGAUAGCCAACACAACCCAAAGCUUAAUCCCAAACAAUUUCUUUGUUAGAAUAGAUGUAAUGAUGUAGAAAGUAAAGGCAUAGCAUACCUGUUGGGUAUUUGGGUCAAUGUCAAAGAAUAAGAUCAUUGCUCUGCAUUUUAUGAAGUAUUGAUUAGACUUGGCAAUUAAUUAUAACGGCACAGCCCUUAUAGAACUCGGGAAGAUUGUGAAACUUGUAAACCUCGUUAACAGCCUGAAUUUGCUUAGUUAUCUGCGAGUUAAUUGCAACAAAGUAAAUGCCAUUUAUUUGGAAAUAAAAGAACAGUGGAAUAUAGAGGGAAAAGAAAAAGAACUGCAAGAUGAGCAUCCCGAUUUGUUCUACAUAAGAUAGCCAUCCUACUGAGAGCAGAUACGACUUAAAUACUUAAUUGUCAGGAAAUGAGAAUAGAACAAAUACCCGACCAGUAUGACAAACCAGUGCAAAAUAAACAUUAUUUAGAAGUUUUUAAAAUAUAAACAUCAUUCAAAUAUGGGCAUGAACUAUGAAGUAUGACUCUCCAAAUAUAUACAAGUGCCGAAUGUCAUUUAACUAUCCAAAGUAUGACUAGAUAUUGGAAAAGGUUCAACUAUCCAAAGGAAUUACAAUCAUGUCAAAUACUAUGAUAUAGGCAACCACUCAAUACAAUUUUUAAACUCGAAAACUGCAUUAACAUACGAGAAUCAAAAUCAGAUAGAACACGAAAUAGAACUCAAAUCUCAUUGACCAAAACAACAAACAAACGGGUAUAUUUUAGUUUAUGCAAAGUCAAUCAUCACUUAUUAACUAAUAUCAUUACAAAAGAAUAAAAUUACAAUGCUUUUCAGCCAGCUAUCCGAAAGAAACCACUAAAUGUUUACCUCAGACAUGUGAAGCAUGGCCAUUACCACCCAAUUCCACAACAGCCGACUUCUCUUUCACCAAACCAUCUUCUUCUUUAAUCCCACUAUCGAGAUCAUCAUCGGAAUCCAAAGUGAAAUUCCCCCCAUUACUAUCCAUUAGCUGUAUUUCAGCCCCUAAUGGCUUAUACCGCAAACCAUCCCCUGAAGCACCAACAACAACACCGUUUCGUUUGCCAAUAAGCGAUAACAUCCCAACAACCAGAACCACAAGCAAAGCAAGAUGGCAAUUGAAUUGCAAUGUGGCAAUAAACCUUGCUCUAUGAUAAUCAGGGUGACUUCUGCAUUUAAUAGUAUAAUUCCCUCUACUUUUUUCAUGUAAGCUACAUCUAUGAACCAUCAAAUUAGUGUAAAAUGAAAAUCCCAUUUGCACAAACCAUGUUCCGUGUAAAAUCAACCCAAUACCUCGUACCGAUUUCGAGUAAAUGGACCUAUUAGAUCUCAAUUCUAACAUUGUUGAAACCACACAAAUUGCUAUGGGAACACAUAAAAGAUCAAAAUAUCUAUACUCAAUCCCACUUGUAUCCUUUCUUUGCAAGUAAUACAACAAAAAUUCUUCAACAAAAGCUAAAAGCAGAACUAAUUCAAGAACAGGAUCAGGCCAAAAGUAUGAACCUUUCUUAUUAUUUAAAAGACCCAAAGCAGAGUAAAGCAAGAAGAGUAGAGCAAGUGAGAGCACUUGUAACUGGAGCACCGUCCCCACCCGAUCUUUUGAACUGAAAGCAUCAAAGAUUGAAACCACAGAAUUUAAGAAAAUCGAAAGGGAAAAGAUUGAUACAAAGAUGAAAGAUGGUGAAGAAGAAAAAUGGUUCUCUUUAGUUUUAGAAAUAGAGGCAGAUUUGAUCUGGGUUGAAAGUGAAGAAGAAAAUGGAGUUGGACUCGGGUUGAGGCAGAGGGUAAAACAUGGAGGGAAAACUGAAGAGGCAUCUAAUCUGGGCAAAAGAGAGGGAUUAGAAAUCGGUGGUUUUCACUGAUUAGAAAAGUAAUGUAUUACACGCGUAUUAACAAUACAUUGAACCAAACGACGAAAUAAAGAGGGAUUAGUGAGGCCCACCGAUUAGGGGUGUAUUGGCUAUGCCAAUACACCCAACCAAACAAGGCAUACAAUAUUUUUAUAGCAUAACCAAAAAAAUUUUAACACCGUUAGUGCUUUGCAUAAUUUGUAUAACAUUUAAUAAAUUUAGGUACUAAAUUGAACCUAAAAAAAACUUAGGUACCAAAUUAGGAAAAAAUGUCAGGUUCAGGUGCCAAAUUGGGCCCAAAAAAAUUUAGGGACCAAAUUAGGGAAAAAAAAUGUAAAAUUUAGGUUCCAAAUGUUACAUUAAGGCGAAAUUAAAAUAUCAUUCAUUCUGUGUUGUAGCUACUUUUUCCAACAAUAUAUUUUUAAAGUUUGAUCGUAAAUUUUGUCUAAAAGUACAAUAUGCCUUACUAUUACAUUUAAUAUUUGUUCAUAAAGCCAAAAUGUAAUUAAUAAUAUUAUUAACAGGUUUCUUUUUUUUCUUUUUUUCUUUGAAUAAUAUUAACAGGUUUCUAUUAAACUAGAAUAUGUGGCAUUUUAAAUGGGAUGAUUGAGUCGAUUAUAUUGAUAAUAAACUUAAGUGGAUAAAAAUUUGAAAAGUAUAAAAAUUGGAGGGUUAAAAUAUGUAAUAUAGUUGCUGUACUUUUUGAAAAUUAAGAAUUUAGUCAUUGUAUUUGUAUUUUCAAAUUUUAAAAUUUAAGUCAAUCUGCUAACACUAGACUUGAUCAUUGGUCAAGCUGAGUUCGGGCCAAGUCAAUGUAGAAAUUUAGGUCUGGACUCGGCCCGAAAAAUAGACUUAAAAUUCUAUUCAAAUCUGACUCAAAUUAAAUAUGUUAAACUCAAGCCCGACACGACUUAUCCUAUUAAAAUUUUUAGAUUAUUUUUUAUAUUUAAAAAUAUAAUACACCAAAUUCACUAAAAAUAUUAAAAUCAGAAAAAAUAACAACCGAAAUUAGACAUUUGAUGGUUUUAGUUUUGGGUUACAAAAUUCAUCAAUUUAUAGCAACAAAAAGGAUGUGGUGUUAAGUUUAUUACAUUGACUAGUAACAAAAUUAGUCUUUAAAAAUGAAUACCUAACCUUAAAUAUUAAUUUGUUAGUUAGGUUGUUUUUACACACUAACCUCUCCAAAGCUGGUUUGGAAAUUCAUCGCUCAAAUAAAUAUUAAUUAAAUAUCGUGGUUUUUUUUUAGAAAACGGGUUUUAAUUUUUAUUCAAGUUUAUUUUUUAAUUUUAUAUUUUUGUUUAAACUUUCUCAUUUUCAAGUGGGUCUUCGGGCCUAAACGGAUGGUUCAACUCAUGAUCAGGUCUAAUUAAUACCGUUAACUUUCUUUGUUAAAUUUGUUGCAAUGACAUUUUGAAAUAAUAAUAAAAACCACUUGAUAGCCAUGUAAAUAAAAACAACAUGUUGUAAUUAACUUGAAUUUAACAAAAACAAAAAUGGUAUUAACAGUUAGACCUGAAUUUUGAAAUCUGAAAAGUAGAUGACUAAAUUCCUGGAAAUACAAGUACAAUGAAUAAAUUCCUAAGUUUUGAAAGUACAGGGACUAUAUGGAUAAUUUAACCAAAUUAGACAUUUCAAAUAAUACGGCAUAUUGAAGAGUACAAAUGCAUGAUAUUCAGAAAGGAGUUUAGAGUGUGGGUAAAAGAGAGAUUCCUUCUCAACUGAAAGUAACCAAAUAUGAGGUUCUAAAUUUGUGCAGAUUAAUGGCUGUGGUUUUGAAGUUAAGCCCCCACAUCGGACGGUUGACAGAAUGCCAUCCCUUGAGAUUUUUCUUUCAUGAGGACCUUGGAGAAUGGAGCCAAAAGCAUAUGAUAUGAAGCGUGGCUAAGAUUCAUGAAAACUGGGCUUCUGUUUGCAUUUGUGGCCAACUGCAACGCCUAUAAGAAUUAACCAAAAACCCCUGAUUCUGAUAAUGACUGCCGAAAAUUUUCAAACAAAAAACGAUCGGAAAAAAUGAAAAAAUUUCCGUUGCCGGGACUUGAACCCGGGUCUCUCGGGUGAGAGCCGAGUAUCCUAACCACCUAGACUACAACGGAAUCUUGUUUGUUAAUUUGAAUAAGAUAAUUUAAGCCAUUUAUUUAUUAAGUUGCUAUUGAACUUCCUACAGUAUUCCGGAUUUUUAGUAUUUUUUUCUCACCCAUAUAUAAAAAGUUACAAAGAAUCAAUAAAUUUAUCAAUUUAUAACCUUUUGGUUACUUGUCUCUUAACUCAAUAUGACAUAGAUAGGCUUAAUAGCUAAUUUGGUCCCUAAACUAUAACUAAAAUAUUAAUUUCAUACUUUCCUGAAGUGUGAUAUGAUUGUACAUGUUGGAGGUAGAAGGACCUAUGGGAGGUAUCUCUUGUUGAGGCAGAGAGUUGACGUUUGUCAUUCUUUAGCAGGCAACAUUUUAUGUUUGUUUGUAAUUUUGGAAAGCCUGCUAAAAUUCUUUCCUUUGCUUGUAGUUUCCAGGGGAUAAGCCUGGUCGUUUGGAGGAACCAGGUUUACAACCGCUCAGUCCGAAUGAAGUAAGGAAGGAUCUGAAUCAGCAGUCAAAGCUUGCAGUGAGAGAGAACCGGCAAAACCAUGGAGUCUCUCGUGUUCAAUUGCUUGAAGAUAAUGCUAAGGGUGAUAGAAAGGUAGGAAAUGAGUUGAUUGAUCUAAAUGCCAAGCCACAACGGGUGCAGGUGCAAGCUUCAAUCAAUCAGGUAUUGUCGUUUGACUAGCUUUUUUCGUUCUUAAACUUGAAUGCUAAGCAGUGUAGUAAGAUGUUCUUUUAGAACUUAAUUAACGAGGUGACUGUUUCGUGUUUAAGAAGCAAGCCAUGGAUGUUUCGAGUGGCAAUAAUCAUGACUCUACAAGUGUGGUCCCUGUUGGAUGCUUCAAACGAGAGCCUGAAAAAUGAGCUAGGUAUAACUAUUAUCACCUACGUAUAGUUUACUUCUUUUAAGAGCAUUGUAACCAUUUGGCUCUAAGAAUUUUCUGUUUUUAUGUUCAUUUCUUGAUACUUCAUUAUAGAUGCUCGUUACGUAUUUGAUAUCAAAUUAGUAAAGUGUAGAAAUAAUUAAUAGGAUUUCCCAAGAAGGUAGGCUUCCUUUCACAUGACAUUGGUGCUUAGAUAGCAUUUUACAAGACUUGUCUGGUUUUUCAAAGUAGAGCUUGACCUGCUGAGCAGUUCCUCACUCCCAUAGUCAUAUGAGAAACAGAUGGAUCGGCAUCUAGUUGUUUAUGAAUCAUUAAACUAUAGAGUAAGAAUGUCUAGGCUUUUGUAUUAGGGGCAAGUUCUGCUAACGUUUUUGAGAGAAAUGGUAUACGGUGCAAGUAACCUUUAAUCUUCAUGCAUAUGGCUAGACUGCUAAAUAACUUUUGAUCCCAAAAGAUGGUAACAUGGCGGCUUCUGCUUGCCUAUCUAUCUCAUGGUUUCUCUCUCUUACUUUAGGCUCGUGUAGAACAAAACUAUCCGGCUGGUUCUAAGGUUACUCUUACGUUCCCCUCAAAAUAUGCACACACACACACAUGCGCUCACGAACAGCUAACCAUUCUUUCUACUCCUUUGAUAAUUGAAUGAGGUUUCUUAUCAGAUAAUGUUGUCCAUCAAUGUUUGGCUGCAGAUACAGCUGAAUCAGUUCUCGCAUAUCUAUGUAUUUAACGAGUGAAGCGCUUGCCUUUGUUAGAUACGUCUUCCUUCCCCAUGGAUUAGUCAUUAUUACCGGUGAAUUAGAAUGACUAGUUGCCAUCAAAUUGUAAGUGGGAAAUAGAAGAAUAAUGGUGAGGAAAUUUUAACUUUUGAAAGGAAAAAAUUCCCCUGCUUGUUUCUCCGGAAAAUGUCUAUCUUUUUUCUGGUCGAAUUUUGGGCCUGAAAGCAGAACAAGCAGUGGGAGAGUAUGAAUCAUGUUGCUCUUCCACCCCUUCUUAGUGGCAUCCGUUUUACCUUUGCUUAACUUCCAUUAUGGUGUUUCUUCUAUUUUUGCCACACUCAAAUAGCAGCUGAAAUUUUUUUGGAUGGAAUCCAAUAAUAAGAUGGAGGAAUGUUGUGAAAAAUACAGUUUAACUGUGUAAGUAGAUCUCUCUAUAGGUUGGGUCGGAUUCAGUCAAGCACUCAGGCAUGUGUAAGUCUAUUUCAAUUUUAAUGCUUAAGGAUCCUAAGUUAAACAAUUGGUUUAACUCCACGGAAAAUGGAUAGUAAAAGAGAACAUCUCACGUCCAAUUCGCCUAAUAUUUUUGCUUAAACUUGUUUUUCCAGUCCAACAUUUCCAAGCAGACAGUUUAGAACAACGUCGAGCAGGAUUGAGAAAUGAUAAUCCGGAAGUUAAUCAUAUCAGUCUACUCUAAUUUUUUUUAUCAUUAAAAUGCAGAUUCAAGCUUGUUUUAGUAUUUGUGAUGAUGCCAUUUAUGAGUACCCUCAUCGGCAAGAAGUUUAUUAACUAACAGUACAUUGCAAUCCAGAACAAAAACUAGUCUCCAGGGUCUAUAGAACAUUAAACACAAUGAGAAUGAAAGAGAAACCAUAUCAUGAAAUCUCCAUCAUCUCAGCUAAGCUUUGUUUGCAGCAGCUUAGUAGACAUAUCCCUUUACGAACAUUCCUUUCUUGGCCUCCUCUGAUUCUCCCUCGCCGGUGUAUUUGCCGAGCUGAGCAAGUGAGUUGGCCUUAGCACGGACAAGAAGUGAAUCCUGAGCAGCCUUAACGUUCUCAGGUCUGCCUCCCCAUGUCUUCAAGCAAGUGUUCUGGAGAGCUCUGGCAUACGAGAACGAGACGUGCCAUGGGUUUGGAGAUUGGUUCAUUGCGUUCAAGUUGAGGGUUGCUUCAACCUCGGAUUGUCCGCCAGACAAGAACUGCACAACAGAAACGGUUUGUCCAAUCCGUUAGUACAGUUCAUUUUAUUAUUUUACAAUGCUUUCGUAUAGAAAAUGUACCAUGAUUCCAGGGACAGCUGGGGGGAUUCUCCUGUGGAGGAGCUUGAGGGUGUAAUCAGCAACUUGCUGUGGGGUGGCCUUGUCUUUGCAUUCAGCACCAGGAGUGACCAUGCUGGGCUUGAGAAGGAUGCCCUCAAACAUGACAUUGUUCUCAGCAAGGUAGAAGAAAACCUCAGCCCAAACCUUCUGCGCUACUUCGAAAGUCCUAUCAAUUCCAUGGUCACCAUCAAGCAAGAUUUCCGGCUCCACAAUCGGGACCAGUCCACUGUCCUGCAACACAAUGGCCACAAAAAUCACUUCUCGACAACAAGUAGCAUACACAUAAUGAUUACUCCACAGCUUCAUCUAUCAACUUACUUGAGAAAUGGCGGCAUAGCGAGCAAGUCCCCAAGCUGCUUCUUUCACUGCCAAGGCAGAUGGACCAUUUGGAAUGCUCACAACGGUACGCCUGUCCGAUCAAAAAGAGCUAAUAGUGUUAUACAAGAAUCCUUUAUUUCAACACUGCAUAAUAUGGUUGAGAAGUCAUCGAACCAUUUGGCGAAACGAGCACCCUGCUGGUAGUAGGCAGCUGUGCGGGAUGAAAGACCGUCAAGACCUUGGCACCAUGACUCGUUGUUGGAACCAGGGAGUGGAACCAAACCCUGUUAUUUUGUUUACCAAAUCAUUCAGUUCCAAGUAUCCUCUAUAAAGAUAUGAAUGUGGGUGCUUUUUGGUUAAGCUUUAUACCUUGUCAACUUUGAUACCAGGGACAAUCUUUUGCUCAACAAGAACAUCGACCAUCUUUUUCCCAUCGAUGGUAGAUUGGUAGAGAGUCUCCUCGAAAAGGAUAGCUCCCGAGAUGUAGUCACCGAGGCCAGGGGCAGACACGAGAAGGGUACGGUAAGCUUGCCGGUUUGCCUCUGUAUUCUCGAGACCAAUCGAGGCAAGCCGUUUCCCACAUGUAGCAUUUGAUUCAUCCAUGGCCAAAAUACCACGACCUGGAGAUGCAACAGUUUUCUACAUCCAAACAAAGAAAUAAUAUUUGAGCAUGCAUGAGAUAAAAAUACGAUUCAAGACUACAUUAAUUCUAAUUAAGUACAUACCGCGGUCUUAACAAGCUCAUCGGCAUAUGAACUAGCACGGACGGUAAAGGCGGCCGAUGUAGGGUUGCACUGUACAAAACAAACCGAAGGGUGGCGGAGGUUUUGACCCUUAAUCCACUCGGACUUGUCGAUAAUAGGUGAAGACUUGAGGAGAGUAGCGGAAGCAGAAGCCAUUUUUCUUUUUGGUUAUGUUAUCUUUGGGCUAAUCAAUGAAGCAAGUCGAAGAAUGUUAUGAGGGACUUUAUUAUGUUUAGUUUUUCACUAUAAUCUUAUCUCUUCAAUGUUGGCCUUCCUUCACCACACAUGCAAGUCUCACUCACUGGAUUUUAUACUUGUGUUUGUCUAUAUCACCCUAUCAUAAGAUGUCACAUUUGAGGCUGUCGUGCUUUGACCAAUGCCGUCAUGCCAUGUAGAUGAUAAUUUUGCACACUUGGCGGGGAUGCAUUCGUGGUUGAUAAAAACAUUGUUUCAUAUGCGUUGAGUCAUUUUACUUUAUUAUCUAUUUUUUAUUUAGAAUAAAAAAUUUUUACCAUAAUUCAUUUUGAACAUAAAUUCAUGGUUAUUUCUCUUAAUAAUAUCGUUUUCAAGAUUUGAACUUCAAUUAUCUCUUUAAGAGUGUAAUGUGAUUUAUCACUAAACUCAACACUCGUUAGUAAAAUCAAAAUGCAAUUAAUAACAUUGUUAAUAGGUUUCUAUUAAACUUGAAUAUAUAUCGUUUUAAUAUUUAAUUAAGACCAUAAUCAAUUAAAACAAUAAAACACUACAUUCAAUAAGAAACAAUGACACACCUAAUUAACUAUGAUUGGAUUUGAUGAAUGGGUUGGUCAGUUAAAGUACUUGUAAAUUUAGUGGAUAAACCUAAUUCGAAGAGUAUAAAGAUUGAGGACAUAAACAUUUGAAAUUGUAGUGGAUAAACAUGUGUAAGUAACAAACAAGUAAAUUAAGGAAGAAAUUAAAAAGAUCGAAUACACAAAUUUUAUGUGAAAAUUUUCUCUGAAGAAGAUAAAAAAUCAGGAGUAAAGGGAUAUUUCACUAAUAAGAUAAAAAUAUAAGAUAGAGAGAGUCAAAAUAAAGAAAAUUUGAAACCCUGAAAGAAAAAUAUUCUGUACUAAAACACAGAAUUCUCUCUUAACUAUGCUAUUUUCUGCAUCUAAAUCUAAUUCACACACUAAUCUCGGUGGCUCUAAGGUGACUUAUAUAGUGUACAUGUUACUUGGUGUCCACUUAUCCUAGAUACAUUUUAGCUACUAAUUAAUGUAAUAUACUAUUAAAUGCUUAGUGUCUAAUUAGGAAGUAAUCCAAAAAUUGUCAUCCAAUGAAUUAGCUACAUAUUUUCAUAUCUCGGCAUGAUGACAGUUGCUUGUUGCGGCAUCGUGUUCUCUCAUUACGACGUCACUCUCUGUUUUGGUCUGAAAUACAAGGCAUAGUCCACAUAAAUAAUAAAGCAUAUUUAUACGAAAAAAAAAACAGAUUUUUUCUUUCCUUGUGAUGUAGUAAGAGUACAAGAACAUCAUAUUCACAAUGCAGUUUGCAGUGCGUACGUAAAUUAGAGGUGUUGGAAAGAUUCCUUCUGAAACUAAACAAACAUGAGGUUCUAAAAUUUGUGCAGAUUAAUGGCUGUGGUUUUAAGUACAGGGUCUUGAAGUUAAGCCCCUACAUAGGACGGUUGAGAGAAUGCCAUCCCUUGAGAUUUUUCUUUCAUGAGGACCUUGGAGAAUGGAGCCGAAAACAUAUGAUAUGACGUGUGGCUAAGAUUCAUGGAAACUGGGAUUCUGUUUGCAUUUGUGGCCAACUGCAACGCCUGUAAGAAUUAACCAAACACAAAAAUAAAUUCUCGAAAACCCCUGAUUCAUGAUAAUGACCGCCGAAAUUUUCAAUCAAAGACGACCGGAAAAAGAAAAAGAAAAACAGUUCCCAUUGCCUGUACUUGAACCCGGCUCUGUCGGGUAAAAACCAAGUAUCCUAACCACUUAGUGAAUUUUUAAUAAAAUAUAACAAUUCUUACUCUGUCUGAUCGCCGGAUUCGAGCUAAAGAAUGCUACAACAAUUAACGGAUUAAUUACAUACAUUUAACAUCAAUAACAUUCAAUAAUUCAACAAACAUAAGUCAUAAUUCAUGGUUAAUAUGAUUUCCAAGCAAAUCCGGGUUUUAAUCGAGCUUACAAAAGUUCUUAAGCUGACCUAAGUACAAAUAAGGACUAAGUUAGAAAUUUUUAAACAAUUAGGGAAAAUCAUAAAAUAGGACCACACAGCCGUGUGCCUAGACUGUGUUAAAAACUGAAACCGUGUAGCUGGAGUCAGUCGUACGACUCCCUUUUCACACGAUUACAGUUUUUCAUACGGUCGUGUGAUCCUUUUUUACUGAAAUUUUCAUACUUUUUGUUAAAUUUUCCUAAGCUCAAUUGAGGCUUGGAUAUGACUCUAUAUUAUGUUGAAUGGUUGAUAUGAUAAAAAUUUGUCAUGUUUUACUGUGAAUUGUUUGUUAUAAGUUUGUUUCGUAUGGUAGCACACCAUAAUUCGUUCCUGACGACAAUGAUAAGUAAAGGGUGUUACAUUAUAACCUGAAGAUUAAUAAUUUAAGGAUUCCAUUCAUUAAGUUGCUAACGAUGGGUCGUUAAAUCAAUAUUUCUCAAACGUACGAUUAGUUACUUAAUUGGUAUUUUUUUUAUCACUCAACUAUAAAAAAUUAUAAAAUAAUCAUAAUAUUUCGAUCAUUUGUUUGUUAACUCAAUUACGGAUAUUUGAAUCUACUACAACAGUAACAAUGCUACAUAAACUAAAUCGUUCAAUUUUAAAUUUUUUAAGGGCACGAAAAGUACAGUGCAUAAUACCCUUUAAUUUGAAGUUUUUGAGGUUAUGACAUAUAUAAAAAUUGUAAAGAAGAAAAAUAGAGAUUAGUAGUGACUUAAGAGGACGAUUAAGGGACUUCAUCUCACUAUAUAAGAAAAGUAAGUUUCAAUGUCAUAGGUCAUCGACCCAUAGUUAAUUACCCAAGUACUUAUAAUUUUAUAGAAAAUUUCAUAAUCCAAAAUCCGACCUGGCCUUGUGAUCCUGAAUUCGAUCUAUAACUGAUACUCUCGCAAUCUCGCAAAGUCAACACGAUGGAAUGCCUCGCGAGGGAAAUAUGUGAAUAUUUUUCCCAAUCUUGCGAGGCAGGACAUGCAAACACGUAUGAUGAUACUUGGGUACGAAUUUUGUCAAAAAGAUACAUCUAAAAUACACGUUAAACUUAAAGGAAUGGCGUAUCGUCUUGAGUUAUAUGAAUAACACUUAACCAUCCCUAACAUAUCCCAUUAAAGGAAUCAUAUCUUAUAAAUAAGGAAAAAUCGCUACAUGAAAAAGGCAAAAAACAAACCUCAACACUACCAUUAGAAGAAACGUCCUCAAAGCAUUAAAGAGUAGAUCAAAAGUGACCCUUUUGAUGAUUCUAAUUGUUCUACUACCAUAUAUUAAUUAGGUUGUCUAUGAUUUUUCUUAUAAAUAAAUUCACCAUUUAACAAUAGGAAAACAAAAUGUUAAAUAUUAAGAUUGAAUUCAAUUUAUUGAAAAAAAAAAUAAAAAUAGGAUUUGAAAUAUGAAAAAUCGGUUUCCUAUUAAAAUACAUAUACAUGAUAAGAUUUAAAUCCAAAAUAUUAAUCUUUAUACUCUCAAUCGGAAAAGGUUAGAUUUUUAAUGGAACUAACGAAAUAAGAAAAACAUUGAUUAUAAAAUUCGAACCCACAACCAUAUGAUUGAAAACAUUAUAGUUUAACAUCUAUACCAAACAAAAUUAUUAUUAUAAAUCUUGUAAUUUUCUAUUUUAUGCAAAUAUUUAAUCAUAUCAGUAAGUAUGUUUUCGACAUUGCAAUUUUACAAUGACCCUGAAAGUAUAUCAAACACUAAUGCCACAAUUAACAAGAACUUCAAAAAAACUUACAAAAAAAGAAGAAGGAGAUACAACAAGAAAAGAAAGAACUACCCUUUUUCAUUUUCUUAUAAUUUUUAUAAUGUUUUACAAUUUUUAAAAGUUUUAUAAUUUAAAAAUUACAUUUAAAAUAAAUUUAGACUUUCAAAUGAAUUUGGACAUCUAUUCAUUAUGGACUUGAAUGUUUAUAUAUAUAUAAAUUUGGAGUUUUUUGAAAUUUUUGCUGAUGUGGAUAGCCAUGUUAACAUCACAAUGGUUGACUCAGCUGUCAUUAAUGACCACAUCAAUAUAGUAAUAGUCAAAGACAAAAAUCAUUAAUCAAUAGGCUUAAUUGAUGUGUUUUUAAUGUUUGAGGACUUUUUUAAUUAAUACAAAAUUUUCAACUAAAAAGUUUGUGAGUAAGAUAAAUAGGUAAAUAGCUACUUAUCCCUUAAUGUUGAAAAUGUUAAAUUGACUUUAUUUUAAAAAAUGAAUUAUAUCAUCUUUUUUUUUAGAUAUCUAAAUUUACAAAUAGUCUCAAUUUGAUCCUAAUUCUAAAAAUACAUAAAAUAAUAUGUAUAUAUAUAUAUAAUACAUAAAUUUAUUAUUACAUUGUUUUGAAAAUAUUUAUCUAUUUUUGUAUAUUUUUUGAUUUUUUUAGAAUUAGGAUUAAAUUGAUAUCAUUUGCAAAUCUUGAGGGUUAAUUUUUUAAAAUUAUGAUUCAAUUGAUAUAAUAUGUAAAAGUUGAGGGCUAAAUUUAUUGUUAUACAAAUUUUUUUUAACUAUCAGGUAGCUUGUCGUUUUUGAUUUUAACGAAAUUGACCAAAAUGACAAAAGUAUAUAACGUGGGUGUUUAAAUUGUAAAAUUUCUAUUUUUGAUGCUUAAAAUGAAAAUUUUUAUAAUAAAAUGAUAAUCUAUGUAGUUUACCCUAAUUUUAAAAAAAUUAAUUUUAUUAGACAAUAUUUAUAUUCUUUAUUUAUAUUUGUGUGUGCGAUGCACCGACUAGAGGUGCUCAUGGGCCGGGCGGUCCGGCCCGCCCGAAAUAUGGGAGGGUUUGGGUAAAAAUAUAGGCCCGAAAUAUGGGCUUGGGCAAAAAAAUGAGGCCCGAUUAAAAAAACGGGCCGGGCCUCGGGCACCACUUUUUUGGCCCGGGCCCGGCCCGACCCGGCCCGAAUAUAAUAGAUUUUUUUUUUAUUUUUUUAAUUUUAAAAUAUUUUUAAAAUAUUUUUAAUUUUUUUUAAUUUUAAAAUAUUUUUAAAAUAAAUUUUUGGUAUUUAUUUAAAAAACGGGCCGGGCCGGGCCCGGGCUUAUGAAUUUUUUCCCGGGUCGGGCCUGGGCAAAAUUCUAGGCCCAUAUUUUGGGCCGGGCCCGGGCCUAGGACCCGAGCCGAAAUUUUUCUGGGCCCGGCCCAUGAGCAGCUCUAGCACCGACUUAAAUUAUUAAAAUUUUGACAAUCGACAUUUUUUUAUUGAAAAUUUUGUAUUAAUUAAAAAAUUAAUAGAGAUCAUUUAAUAUAUAUAUAUAUAUAUAUAUAUAUAUCGAUUUUCUAUUAUGAUAUCAAGGGAAAUAAUAUUGCACGGGUUUGAAUAGUGCAAUAUUAUGAUAUCAAACAGAUUUGAAUUGUAAAUAGAUUUGUUCACGGGUUAUUCGUUCAGGCCCAAAGGCCCGUCCGAAACUUGGAAGAGUUUCAGUAAAAAUAUUAGGCCUGGAAAAUAGGCUUAAGCAAAAAAUGAGGCAUGUUUAAAAUAAGAGUUGGACUUAGUUUGAACAUUCAAGGCUCGACUCGACCUAUUUUUAAGUUUAUAAUACUUUAUAUUAUAUUAUUUUCUUAUAUGAUGUAAUUUAGAGCACAUUUAAAAAAAUAAACCUAUACUAAAUAUAUAAUAUUACUCUAAUGUAAACAUUAAAAUAAAGUUAACAUGACUAUAUAAAAAUUUUCAAUAAAUAAAAAAUGUAUAAAAUUAUUAAAUAUUAAACUAAUAUAAUAUAAAUAUUUUUUAAAAAACAAAAAAAAUAUGGACGGGCCUAAAUGGGCUUGGGCUAAUCUUUUACAAAUAUGGGCUAGUUUGGGUAAAAUUUUAAGCUCAUAUUUUAGGUCGGGUCGGGCUUGGACAAGUAUAAAGUAUAUUAAUAUCAUGCUUAAGCCUAACACGACCCGGCUCAUGAACACCUCUAAUUGUAACGUAGUAUUAUGGUAUCAAAAUUCUUUUCACAAGAGAGAAAUAUUAAUUUAGAAAGGAAUAUUUGCUUAUCUAACUUUUUAAUUUUAUAAAAAAAAAGUCAUUCCAAUCCUUCAUUUAAUUUUUCACUCCUUUUAGCUUUUAAACUUGCGUUAUUUGUUAAAUCACCCUAAAAUGGAUGGAAAUGUUAAGGUUUUUUAACUUUGUUGGUGUGACAUACAUGUGGAUUACCACAUGGGUGCCACAUGAGCAAUUAAUUAAUUUUUUAAAAUUCAAAAAAUUAUAAAAUUUAUUUUAAAAAUUUUAAAACUAUUAAAAUUAUUAAAUUAUAAAAAAAAUUUAUUUUUUUUAAAAAAUAAUCAAUUGAUGAUGUGGCAUAUACUUGAACUACCACGUGGAUGUCACGUCAAUAAGGUUAACAAACAUUAACUUUUCUAUCCAUUUUGGAGUGAUUUGACAAACAAUACAAGUUUAAAGACUAAAAGAAGCGAAAAACUAAAUGGAGGGAUAAAAUGAUUUUUUUUUUAUAAAGUUGGAACCUUAGAGAUGCAUGUUCGAACCUUAGAGAUCACAUUGUUGGAAAGAGCAACCACAAACUUCUAACAUGAUUUGUAAAACGGACAUAAUAAAUAAAUAAAAAGGUGAAAUAUACACUUUUAAGCCAAAUAUAUAUUAAUUUUCAUUUUUCAAACACUUACCGGUUUGUAAAGUUAGUUAGAUGUACACCAAUGUGUCGUAAUUUCUAAUCUCAACUCUAAUAUUUACCUAUAAAAGGAAUUUAAGAAAUACUAAGAUGACAAAUGUAUCAAAAUAGUGAGGACUUUAUCAAAAAAUAUACCAUAGCAAUUACAUAAAAAAAAAGGUGAAUUCACCGCUAAAUUUUGUAAAAAUGCCGUUUGUUUUUAAAUAUUUAAAUAUUUAGGCUGAUUUAUUUGAUAUUUAGGCCGAAUUUGAAAAGAAAAGGUAAAAAUAUGUUCAGCAGAGCAUGUUUUUUAGUCAGAUGGUUAAAUGUUAGUAUUUUUUCUUAAGUCUCGCGUUCAAUUUCUCUUCUACUCAUAUUAUAUUUUUUAUUUCAUGUUGCUUCAAGCUUUUUAUAUUUUUUUUGUUAGAGUUGUGUGACCCAAAUUCUAAGAAAUUGCUUGCAAGUCAAGUUAAACAAAAUAUAUCUUCUUUCUAGAAGAUUUAAUAUUUAUGAGUAUAAUAUAUUUAGCAUUGAUUAACAUAAUAUAUUUGAGUUUGAUUAGAAUUAGGUUUUUUCAACCUAUAAAUAGAUGUAGUCGAAACUCCUCUUAUAAUCAUUCGAAUUCAACAUAGUGAAUUUUCUUCUCCUCUGCCCGUGGUUUUCUCCCAAAAGAGUUUUCACGUAAAAAUCUGUGUGUUUUUUAUUUUUAUUUAUCUUUUCUUUACGAUAUAUUGUCAUUACCGACGUUUUAUUUUUACAAAUUGGUAUCAAAGCUUCUGAGUUGUUCAUCUCGAUCACGAUAAUGGCGUCUUUGAAGCAUAAAAUUCCACUGUUGGAUCGCAACACCAAAUUUUCGUUGUAGCUGAUUAAGAUGCAAGCAAUUCUUAUGCAGAUGGAUCUGGAGGAUGCCCUGCUAGGAAUAGAUAAGAUGCCUUCGACAUUAACGGAUGAAGAGAAGAAGCGUAAAAAUCGAAAGGCAUUAACACAAUUACAUCUGCAUUUGUUUAACGAAAUUCUGAAGGAUGUGAUAAAAGAUAAGAUCGCUGCUACUUUAUAGAAGAGGCUGGAACAAAUAUGUAUGUCGAAAACUCUAACUAGAAAGUUGCAUAUGAAACAGAGUAUUUAUACUCAUCGUUUGGAGGAAUGUGCGUCUGUGCAUGAACACGUAACUAUGUUUAAAGAAAUUCUCUCAAACUUGGAGGCCAUGGAGGUUCAGUAUAAUGAGGAAGAUCUAGGGUUAAUUCUUCUUUGUUCGUUGCCCCCGUCUUAUUCAACCUUUAGAGACACGAUUUUAUAUAGUCGUGAGUCUCUCACAAUUGAUAAGGUUUAUGAUUUUUUGACCUCGUAUGAUAAGAUGAAACAUCUUGUGGUUAAACCCAAAUCUAAGGGAGAGGGUCUCAUUAUUCGCGGGAGACAAGAUUGGAAUACUGAUGAUGAUCAUGGAAGGACACGGGAACAUAAUCCUCGCGAUAAAUCUAAGGGUAGAUCAAAGUCUUCAAACAAAGGCAAAACUUGUAACUUCUGCAAGAAAAAAAGGUACAUUAAAUUUGAGUGUUAUAAGCUACAGAACAAGAUCAAAAGUGAGGCUGUGAAUCAAAAGGGAAAACAACUAAAAAAUUCCGGUGAAGCUGAUAUUGUAGAAGACUACAGCGAUGGUGAACUUCUAGUCGCUUUUGUUAACAAUUCUAAAUUGAGUGAGGAGUGGAUCAUUAAUUCGGGCUGCACCUUCCACAUGAGUCCCAAUCGAAAUUGGUUUACAACUUACGAAACAAUGUCUGAAUGUGUUGUUUUGAUGAGAAAUAAUGCUACGUAUAAAAUUACAGGUGUUGGAACGAUUAAAGUUAAGAUGUUUGAUGGAGUUGUCAGAACACUUGGUGACGUACGACAUGUUCCAGAAUUGAAGAGAAAUUUAAUUUCGUUAAGUACUUUUGAUUCAAAAGGGUACAAAUACAUAGCUGAAAGUGGGGUUUUGAAUAUUUUUAAAGGUUCCCUCGUUGUGAUGAAAGGGCAGAGAAAGACUGCCAAGUUAUAUGUUUUGCAGGGUUCUACUGUUACUGGUGAUGCAGCUGUCGCUUCCUCUUCUUUGUCAGAUGAUAAUAUUACUAAACUUUGGCAUAUGCGCCUAGGGCAUAUGAGUGAGAAUGGCAUGGCAGAAUUAAGCAAAAGAGGACUUCUUGAUGGGUAAGGAAUUUCUAAACUAAAGUUCUAUGAGCACUGCGUUUUUGGGAAGCAAAAAAGAGUUCAAUUCACUAGAGGAAUCCAUAACAAGAAGGGAAUGUUAGAGUAUAUUCAUUCUGAUCUGUGGGGGCCAUCCAGAGUGCCUUCGAGAGGUGGAGCUAAUUAUAUGCUAACUUUUAUUGAUGAUUUUUCCAAAAAAGUUUGAGCGUUCUUCCUAAAGCAGAAAAAUGAUGUGUUUUUCGCAUUUAAGUCUUGAAAAACUAUGAUUGAAAAAUAGACGGCAAAAUAAAUAAAAUACCUAUAUACAGGAAAUGUCUUAGAGUUCUGUUCUGAUGAGUUUAAUAAAUUGUACAAGUCAAAAGAGAUCGUGAGACACUUGACAGUUCGUCACACUCCACAGCAAAAUGGCGUUGCAAAACGAAUGAACAGAACGAUUAUGGAGAAGGUUCGAUGUAUGUUGUCAAAUGCCAACUUACCAAUGUCGUUUUGGGCCGAAGCAGCCUCUACUACAUGUUUUCUGAUCAACCUAUCUUCAUCCGUUGCCAUUGGGAAAAAGACUUCACAAGAGAUAUGGUCUGGUAAUCUUGCUGACUAUUUUGAUUUAAAAAUCUUUGGGUGUCCUACUUAUACUCAUGUUGAUACUGGAAAAUUGGAACCGAGAUCCAUUAAAUGUGCUUUUCUUGGUUAUAAAUGUGGUGUAAAAGAGUAUAAGUUAUAGUGUCCUGAAAAUAGAAAAGUUGUGAUUAGCAGAAAUAUUAUUUUUUUAUGAAACUGUUAUGCUACCUAUCUUAUCUCUUAAAGACUCUUCCAAUAAAGAAAAUUAAAAGCAGGUGGAGCAUCAAAUUAAUCCAGAAUCUACAACAGAGUCGAUUCCUCAAGCCAGUACAAAAAUUCAGAAUAGAUUUGUUUCUUUACCACAAUAUUCUAUCGCCAAAAACAGAACUAGAAGAGAAAUUAAACCUCUAAAAUAGUAUGCUGAGGCUGAUCUAGUUGAUUAUGCUUUAAAUAUGGCUAAAAAUAUAAAUGCAAACCAAGAGCCAUCUAAUUAUUUUGAGGUGGUUAGCUGUGAAGACUCAGAAAAGUGGAUGUUUGCUAUUUAAGAGGAGAUGGAAUCACUCCACAAAAACAAAACAUGGGAUCUUGUGAAACUUCCUAAAGGUAAAAAGGUUGUUCGUUGUAAAUGGGUGUUUAAAAAGAAAGAAGGGAUUCCAAGAGUUGAAGAACCCAGAUAUAAAGUAAAGCUUAUUGCAAAAGGUUACAAUCAAAUUCCAGGAGUGGACUUCACAGAUGUGUUCUCCCCCAGUUGUGAAGCAUAGUUCGAUUCAAGCUUUGCUUAGUAUUGUGGCCAUGCAUGAUUUGGAGUUUGAGCAGUUAGAUGUAAAAUUUACAUUUUUGCAUGGAGAACUUGAAGAUAAUAUUUACAUGCAACAACCAAAGGGUUUUACUGUCUCAGAAAAAGAGAGCUCUGUUUGCUUGCUGAAAAAGUCCCUUUACGGUUUGAAAUAGUCACCAAGACAGUGGUACAAAAGGUUUGAUUCAUUUAUGACUUCUCAUGAUUUCAAAAGAAGUAGUUUUAACAGUUGUGUUUACUUUAAGAAAAACAGUGAUGGUUCUUUUGUGUAUCUACUCCUUUAUGUUGAUAACAUGUUUAUAGCAGCAAAAGAUAAAUGAGAGAUAAGAAAGGUUAAAACCCAACUAAGUGAAUAAUUUGAGAUGAAAAAUUUAGGACCAACAAAGAAGAUACUUGGUAUGGAGAUUCUCAGAGAUAGAAAAGCAAGUAAAUUGUACCUAAGUCAGAAAGGGUACAUUGAGAAAAUUCUUUACAGGUUCAAUAUGCAGAGCGCUAAGCCUGUUAGUACUCCUUUAGCAGCCCAUUUUAGGCUUUCAUCGGCUUUUUCUUCACAAUCAAAUGAUGAAAUUGAGUACAUGUCACAUGUUUCAUACUUUAGUGCAGUGGGAUCUCUCACGUAUGCUAUGGUUUGUUCAUAUCCAGAUUUAUCAUAUGCAGUCAGUGCAGUUAGUAGAUACAUGGCGAAUCUUAGUAAAUAAAAUUGUAAAGUAGUUCAGUAGAUUUUAAGAUACUUACGAGGUACUAUUGAUGUUUACUUACAGUUUGGAAGAACUAGAGAUGAAGUCAUUGAGUAUGUUGAUGCGGAUUUUGCUGGAUACCUUGAUUGAAGAAGAUCUCUCACAGGUUAUAUUUUUACAAUCGGAGGUUGUGCAAUUAAUUGGAAAGUCACUUUGCAAACUACAGCCGUUUUGUCUACCACAGAAGCUAAGUACAUGGCGAUUACGGAGGCUUGUAAAGAAGCUAUUUGGUUGAAGGGACUAUUUAAUAAACUCAAUGAAGACCUUCAAAUCAGUAUAGUAUUUUGUGACAGUCAGAGUGUAUCUUCCUUACAAAAAAUCAAAUGUUUCAUGAGAGAACAAAACACAUUGAUGUUCAGUAUCAUUUUGUUCGUGAUAUUAUUGCUCGUGGUGAUAUUGUUGUGAGCAAAAUUAGUACUCAUGAAAAUCCUGCAGAAUAACCAAGUUUGAGCAUUGCUUAGACUUGGUUGGUGUACAUUGUUGAAGUUAAACCCUUAAGGGGUUUUAUGGAAGAGGUGAAAAACUUGUUCGUUGAGAAUUCGUGUCAAGGUAGAGAUUGUUAGAGUUGUGUGACCCAAAAUCUAAGAAAUUGCUUACAAGUCAAGUUAAACAAAAUAUAUCUUCUUUCUAGAAGAUUUAGUAUUUAUGAGUAUAAUAUUUUAGCAUUUAUUAACAUAAUAUAUUGGACUUUGAUUAGAAUUAGGUUUUUUCAACCUAUAAAUAGAUGUAGUCGAAACUCCUCUUGUAACCAUUCGAAUUCGACAUAGUGAAUUUUCUUCUUCUCUGCCCGUGGUUUUUUUUCAAAAGGGUUUCCACGUAAAAUUCGGUUUAUUCUUUAUUUUUAUUUCUCUUUUAUUUACGAUAUAUUGUCAUUACCGCCGUUCUAUUUUUACAUUUUUAAUUAAUAUUUUGAACAUAUUAACUCCUUUAAUCAAAUGGUUAGAUAAUUGAAAUUACAUUUUUAUGUCCCAAGUUCCAUUAUUUUUAUAAACAUAUUAAUAUUUUUUGUUUAUUUUAUGUUGUUUCAAGCUUUUUUUUAUCAUUUUAAUAAUUAUCUAACUAAAUGAGCUAAUAUGUUAAAAUAUUAAUUAGAUUUAAAAAAAACUUGAAGCAACAUGAAAUAAAAAAAUACAAAUGUCAGUAGGAGAGGAAUCAAACUCGAAACUCAAGGAUAAAACAUUAACAUUUAACCAUCUAGCCAAAUGAGAUGAUUUGUUAAAAAAGUCAAGUGGUGGCCGUAAAAUGUGCCCUGCAUUUUCAAUUAAAAAGCGUCCAACUAGACAAGUUUUUGCCUUCUUUCUGUAAAAUCGGUCUAAUUAUUAAUUCAAAAUUAAAUUUUAAGUAUACAUUUGAACCACAAUUAGAGUUUUAUUUAUAUAAUUACACCAAAUUAAAGUUCAUAUAUACAAUUACACAUUAAAUCAAAAUCAAUGUAUAAUUUUCAAAUUUAUCCCUAAAAAAAUCAUCAACUACUGCUCUCUUCCCUCCUUUGCUCACACUCCAGGUGAGAAAAACCUUCUUUUCUCACUAUUAAAAGCCCCCAAAAGCAAAGGGAUUUUAAUAAAAAAGGGAAAACCAUUGAUUAUGUACAAAUUUUCUUUUAAGUUUGGGUUUAAGCUAGCUGGGAUUAGCUGCAAAAUAGGCUAAUACACCCACAAAGGGUGCAUUAAUGUAAGUAGUAGGCUCUGAUUUCCUAAAAUCAGCUCUAUCAUCAUCAUAAACAUCAUCUUCUCCAGGCCCUCCAACAAUGGCACCAACCAAAACAUUUGGAUUAGGAUUAGUUGAAUUAAAAUAAAUGGAACCUUCCUUGCAAGCUAUAAACUCAGGAUGAUCUUUCACAGACGGUAAAGACGACCCUCGGUGAUGAAUCCGUUGCGGGAAACGGUUGCCGUACCCAACCAUGUACGAUAACCCCAUUGGGUUAUCACCUAAAAUGUAAUCGGCUUGGUUCUUUGCUAUGGUUCGAAGAGAUAACGGGGAGGCAAUUAAGUUACCGCAGUUGACUGUUUGUGAAGUACGAUCGAGGUAAUUAGCGUAAACGAGGAGAAGAAACGAAAUCGUGGUCGCAUGCUGCAAGUUGCUGCCUCCGGGCUUGUAGAUGAGGCCGCCGGGAGUGUAUUCGAUGUGGGACGACGAUGAAUCGGGGAUUAGUGUGCACAUAAAGCUAUCUGCUGACACCUUGUAUGAUUGCAGGGAGUACAUGUUUCCUUCUAAAGCUUCCUGAAAGACAAGGGGACCCAUGUGAUGUCCCAAAGAAAAUCUCUAAAUUAUGAUUUUAGUCCUUCUACUAUGUUACAAUUUUCGAUUUGAUACAUUUACUUUCAUUUGACCUAAUUAGACCGAAAUAAAAAAAAGUUAAAGCAAGCCAUUUGGGGUAGUUAAAUUAGAGGAGGCUUGACCUUGGAGACAAGAACGUUUAGACCAGCAUGCUUAUUGUCCCAUCCAAAUUCAUUGAUGUUGUCAUCGGCACCAAGGGUUUUGCCAUUGAUUUCGAUGUAAUUAAGGUAAGAGUUGUCUUGCGAGGCCCUCCUUAACCAUGCAGCUCCCCAUAGCAAUUCAUCCUGGUUAAAAAUUUUAUAUAUUAUAAAAGUUUUAUUUUCCAUUUUAGGGUGGCCGGCGACUGCCAGCGGGCCGCCACUGAGUUUAGCUAAUUUUUUACUUACUUGAUAGCCGCUAAAAUCGCAGUAAAAUGGGCAGGCACCGUCUCGGACAUUAGAAUUGUCACUAUAAGCACCUCUAAAGUUGUCAGCAUAUUGAAAAACCCGAACAGAAUUCCGUAACAAUGUCUGGGCAUACCCUGGGUCCACUGAUCUGAAUGCCAUGGAUGAAGCCGCAAGAGCGGCCGCCGUCUCAGCCGCUACUUCGGAAGCCGGGUUCGGUGCAUCCACUGCAUAAACCGUCCUCGCAGUAUCCAUAUCUUCGGGUCUUUCCCAACAGUUAUGGUCCUUAUAUGGAUCUCCAACCUAAAUACAAAAGAAAAUUUGAUUUACUUAGAUUACUAUUUCAUGUCAUUUUCACUUUGGGUUCUGUUUCUUUUCUUCAGAUGAUAUUGCUAUUAGCUAGCAACAACUCCCAUACAAACAUUUCAAGUGCAGGUGGCUACUACUGUCAAAUGCGUAUCCCAAGAAUGGAAGAAAAAAAAAGUAGGAUUUUCCGGGAAAGUUUUGUUAGUAAACGACAACCAUGCACUAGAACCAUAUCCGAUAAUCACGUUUUUACCCACUCAAACCACUGAAAUGAAAGGACCAUUACCAUUGCUGCUACUAGCAGAGCACUGAACAGUACAGUGUAGAAGAAAUGAACAAUUUUAACUCAACCGAAAUGAGCAAAAUCCGAAGUUAGACUUAAACUACAAUGGAGUUUACUAAAUACCUGAACGAAAAUCUGGUUAGGCUGAGAGACAGUUUUAAGCAAAUAAUCAGUACCCCAACGGAUGGCCACAAGGGCAUUUCUAAGUUCACUUGGCGGCAUUAAUUCUCCAAACUCAAUCACGCUCCAAGCCAACAUCGUCGUCGUGAAAGCCAUCGGGAAGCCGAACUUAACAUUGUCGCCGGCGUCGUAAUAACCGCCAGUUAAGUCCAUGUUGUACAUGGAACGGCCAUCGCUCAAUCCCGAAUGCUCCCUCCAUUUCAUACGUUGGUCUCGGGGCAGAACACCAGAACGCUGGCCCUCGAAAAACAGAAUCGAUUUCGACAAUGCGUCGGAGUAAUCAUGGUGACCGCAACGAACCGAAGGGGAAAAAACAAGGGAAACGAAAAGAAAAAACUGCUGACGAUGAUGAUGGUGAAGAAGAAAAAGAAGAACAUAAUGGAAUUUCAUGGCGUUUGUUUUGAGGAAUAGGAUUUGGGGUCUCUGGGUCUUUUGCUUUAAUGCCUGGUUGAUUAUAUAUUAGAUUAAGGGGGGGAACGAGGAGUCACGAGGGAGAGUGGAAAGGCUUUGCUUAUAAUGUGAGUAGGAGUGGGGAAAGCGAAAGCGCCGACACUUAUUUGGGGUUUUUAUAUUUGUCAGUGAAGGAGUUCACAUGCAUCGCGAAACGUGAAUGCACAAUUUGCUGGUAAGUAAAACAAAUACGGCCAAAGCAGACAAUGGAGUGUAGGUGGAGGACGAGGAGGCCAUUUGGCUUUUGCCCUUUAGAUACCCAAAUUCGAAUGCUAUUUGCUUAUAUCGCUGCAAAGUCGCAUGCUCAAUAGUUCUGGCUUGUCGGCUCCAUCGCUUUACUCAGAGCGUUCGAACUUUAAAAAUGAUUAAGAGGGACAGCAUUACAGAUUAUGGUUAACCACAUGACCCAAAUUGCUAUUAUAGUGAAAUUCGCCCAAAACUACCAUUACAUUCUAAUAAACCUCAGUAACAGAUGUAUAGAAAAUGAAUUAGGUUGUUUUGUUGUUGUCAGUCGAACCCAAACUACCCAGGCCUUUAAGCAGUCUCAGAAAGUGUGCAUUAGGGUUUCAAUUGUUGAACCAUAACACGAGCAUCUAUUCGAGGCUGCUAAGUGUCCCCGAGAUAACUUACCUAUUGUAGGAAGCAACUCUUAAGCAAACAUCCAUAGAUAGCAUAAUUUUUAUUUUUCUUGAGGGAGUUUUAGGGUUAUUAUGAACUAAGAACAGAAUGCUUGAACAUAUAUAAUAUGAGCCAAAAUAAUAUGUAAUCAGACUUUUUAUGUAUUUAGCAGAUUGUUAUUAAAUCACGGGGUUAAAUCAUUGAAAGUAUAUAUAAAUCAAUUACUCUUGACAAAGUUAAGGUAUUGUUUCGUAUUGAAAUCUUAGCUCUAACCUUUAUUAAAAAUCAUACAAUUUACGGAAAAAAAUGCCUCUGGCAUGGAACCAAAAUAUUUGCAGACAAGGAUUAUAUUUCUGUGCAUAUAAGGAUUAAGGGAGAGUACUGUAGAGUGUUGUAUUAUAAUAUAUUUCAACAGAAAGAAAUGUUGGAGGUUUUGUCUUGAAAUUUUGAUAAGCAAAUGGGGUAUCCAAGAAUGUAGGUAACAUUUUAAGGGUGAGGACAAACAGCUGCAAUAUAUUCUUAUCCCAUACCCCAACAUGGCCAAAAGGGGCGGUGCUGCUGCUUUAUGUUUUUAUAAUAGAUAAAUAAAAAAUAAUUAGUUAUGAGCAUCUCUUUUCUUAACAAGCUUACAGAAUGCGAAAAAAUAGUUAUUGAGUUUGCUCUGAUAAAUAUCUUGAGAAAUUAAAAAAUAAAUAAUAAUUAGGCACAACGAAAUAAAAACUUUUAUUUGAGAUAUUAGGAUAAUUAUUUGAUACUCUGUUAGUGGAGUUUUUUAUAUACUUUAUAAGUGGGUUGGGAGUUUUACAAGUGUCAUAUUUAUUACUUAUCUCUUUUCGUUUUUUUUUUAUGAAAAGCAUAUGGUAAUAUCUUAAAAAGGAAAAUAUUCGGUCUAUAAGUCAAGGGGUUAACAAAUGUUCUAGGGGUACAGUAAAAUAUUAAAAAUAAAUAAAUAUUUAUAAAAAACGACACAUGGCAAUUUUUUAAAACUACUUGUAGAACAAAAUAAUAUAGUAUUAAUGUACUAAAUAUUUAUAAAAUUGUUUUUAUUUCACUAAUAGAAUAACCAUCUAACUUCAAUUUGAAUGUUAAAAAGAAUAGCAUUUGAUAGACUGAUAAUAAAAUAUAUUAUUUUCAUAAACAAAGUUAAAAUAUUGCCAAAUGCCCAUUUUUAAUACUUAUUUUAUUUAUUAGGUAUGUGUCACUCUUUUGACCCUAAUUGAUUAACUGUCUGUUAAAUAAUUGUUUAAGGGUGUGUUUGAACGAGGGAUUUGGAGAAAUAAUUUUAUUUGUAUCAGAAUUUUCAAAAUUCUAGAAAUGAAUUUACUUAUUUGAAUAAAAUUUUUUAGAGAAUUUCAAAAUUUUCAAUUUCCCUAUUCAAAUUCCACUUAGUUUUUUUAAAAUUUUAUUUCAUUUAAUAAACAUGGUCUCUGGUAAAUACUAAAACUUCGAAAAACAUUUUUAUUUAAUUUUAAUGUAUAUUUAAAAGUUAUUUUUAUUAAAAAUAAUUCUAAAUUUUUACAAUUAUAAUGAUAUACAUGUUGAAUAUGUUUUAUAUUAUGUUUAAUAUAACUAUCAUUCUUUAAUUCAUUAAAAUCCAAUACCCUAAUUUUUUUAAAAUUAUUUAUUUAUUCAAACAAAUAAUUAUAAUCGUUAGCAUUUUGAAUUGAUGAAAUCUAAAAUGCAAACAUUUUAAAAAUCUUCGAAUUUCGAAAUUUUUCAUCUAAACACUCUCUAAAUGGAUAAAGAUAGUUAUUCUACUUAUAAAUUCUUUCAUUGGGUUGCUGUUUACGAAUUAAUCAGAUAUAACUCAAUUAGAAAAAUAUCAAAUUUACUAUUUUUUUUUAAUGUUGAGCACUUAAAAUUUAUCAUUUUGGGGGCAAUAGCACUGAUCAUCAAAUUAACAGUGAAGUUCAUAUAUUUACUAAUUUUAUAAGACGAGUAAUCAAAUCAAUUAAUCCAUCAAUUUUUGACUCAAUUAGUACAAAAGAAUAAAAAAAUAUAUAUGAGAAAUUAAUACGCACAAAUUAUGUAUUUUGGAUAAUACAUAUAAACCAAAAUAAAUAAAUAAAUAACCAAAAACAUAUUUUAAAAUCGGUAUAUACGUUUUUAGCUAUUCUUUUGUUUCGAUUUUUACCGGUUAACAACGAUUUUAAAUAUUUUCAAUUAUAUGGCACUAAUCAAAUCGAUUGAUCGGUUCGAUUCUAACAACAUUAAUAUUUAUUAACAAUUGGACUAACUAUUUAGUUUUAUAAAUUAUGAGGACUGAAUUUUUGAGAAAUUCAAGUAAAGGGAUUAAUUUUUUCUAUUUACAACAAUUCCAAACAUAAAAUUCAUUCCUAAAAUUAUAAAAGUACUAAAAAUAUCAAUUAUAUCAACAUUUUUAUUUUUUAAUAAAUAUUUACUUUAAGUUUUCAUAAAAUCAUUUUAAAUAUCCGUUAUAUAUGGUUUAUAUAUAUAUUGAUAAAAAAUCAUUAAACAUUUUUUUACUAUGAAUGCUUAGAUAACAGAAAUAAUAUUUUAAGUAAUUUUGAAAGAAAAAUAAUAUUUAGGUUAAUUAUUACCAAAUAUAUAUAUAAGAGUAAUUAAUUUUUUUAUUUUUUUUAUUUUAAAAGCAAAUAUAAGAUUAUUUAAUAAUUUAGCUUUUACAAAUUUUUACUUGAGGGACAAGGAAAUCGGAAAUGGACUAGACGAAAUUCCUUUCGUUGGGACGAAGCAAAACUAUUCCCCAUACGUCAGUCUAGGUUUAAUUAUGCUUUCAGUCACUGUGAUUUUCCAGUAUUUGAAAUUUAGUCCAUUUAUUUGUAAUUGCAGGAAUGCAUUAUUGUUUUGAUUUAACCAUUGAAAUCCAAUUGAUAAUACCAUUAAAAUAAUUUCAUUAAAUUUAGUUAUGUGAUUUAAAAAAAAAAAUUGAUCACAUAACCGUGUGGAAGCCAUGUAAGCAAAAGAGAAGUAUUUACUUUUAUUCUAUGUUUCGAUAAUAGCGAUAUUGAAUUUAGAAUCGAAGGCUUUAUAAUCUCAAAUUCAAUAUUUUAUUUGCUUAUUAGGCAUUUCACCCAUGCAACAUUGGUUACAUGAGGAUGUUUUUUAAUAAAAUGCUACAUAAUCUGUUAUGAUACUUACUAUUAUCGACCCGCUAUCCGAUUGAGUUUUGACCCGCACUCUACACGGUUCGUACUUCGAGUUCAUGUGUAAAGUGCUCACACCCUUUUAUGAGAUUACAUGAUGUGGGUUCGCACCAUCAUAUAGGCAAACCCACAUCGUAUAAACACAUGUUAACCUUAUAAUAAGAUACAUGUCAAUAUGCAUGUUAACCUACCUAUUAUAUCAUAUCUAGGACCAGUAACCAUAUAAUAUACAUAGUUUAACACAUUGGAAGAGGAUACACACAUAAAUACUCGAUAUGAUCCAAUAUAAAAGAGACUAAACUGAAAAUAUGUGAAGAGUAGAGGAACUGAUAUUGAGAUUAGAUCAUUGUUCCUCCAUUUCCUUCCCCAUUUCUCAACUAACCAUUUUCCCCCAUAAGCCGCGUCUUCGCCGCCUCCUGCAAAGGAAGAGAAAAGAUUCUUUUCAAUCGAUCAUGGCGUCUCUAUAAAAUUGUCUUUUUAUUGUUAUAUUUUUUCUCUUCUUCAUUCGGCGAUUGGAAUCAUUGAGUUUUUCUCCUUUUCCUCGUAGCCAGUUUCGUUUUUUUAUUCCUUUUCUUUAGAUUUGAAGCAAAAAUGAGCGCGUAUAAGCGCGUGGUACAGUUAGGGUUCAAUGCGUAUUCGAGUUCCAUUGUGAACAGGGUCGGGCACCGGCAGAUUUCUCAACUCGUGAAAUCCAAUGGAAAGCGUGCAUUUCUCGUCGAUACAUUGGCUCUGGUACGUCAUUUCCCUUUUCCUUACUUUAUUUCGUUUCAAUUUCUUGUUUGGUUGUCGAGAAAACCUAGGAAUAACGACGAAUUUAAUCUCUUUCGAUUAGGAAAGUAAAUUUGAAUCUGUUUCCUGGUUAAUUCGACUGGAAUCGUUUUAUUGCUUAACGAUUCGGCGUUUAUUUUGGUUAUUUUACGAAAAAAAUUAGUAAUGGAACUCUUGGAUUUGGGUUUCCUCUGUUAAUUUUGAGUUUUUUUUUACACUAAUAGGUUCGGAGUUUGGAAGCGCAAGGCGUGCCAUCAAAACAAGCGGAGGCAAUAACAUCAGCAAUCACUGAAGUAUUGAACGACAGCUUGGAGAAUGUGUCCCAGUCCUUUGUUUCAAAGGCAGAAAUGCAGAAAGUAAGUUUGGUGAUGUUUUUGUAAUUGUUACCAUGUUUUCUAGAUCAUUUGUGUUCAUUGCGAGUGUGUUGAUACUAAAUUUUGCUUUAUUUUACAUUUUGUAGUCUGAGAUGCUUCAAGAAGCCAAUUUGUCCAAGUUUAAAUCGGAAGUAAAAAGUUCCCAGGUACUAAUUUAUACGCUUAACAAAAAACUAAGCGGCAAAGAAGAAGGAAGAAAUUUAUGUUAUGUGCUAAUAUCAUUAUUUGGAACUUGCCAUUUGGCUAAGUGAUCACUUCAAUGUGUCUCUUAUUGACUCUAAUAUUUGGGAUUCUUUAGAAAUUCCAUUGGUGGCAGAGACUGAAAUCUCGUAGCUAGUUCAAUUUGAACUAAUGAUGUUACACUGCAGUUUCAUUUUGUUCCUUUCUUGUGUGUCAACUCAAUAUUGCUGUUUGUGAGGCUGGGUAGGCUUAGGGUUAUCCAGAUACUAUGUGCUUUUUAGUGCCCCUUUUUUCCUAGCACUUUCUCCUUUUCCCUUGCUCAGAUGUAGAUAAAGAAAGAGGUGCAGAAGAUGAAAGUGGGAAUGACAAAUCUUGUAUUAAUGGUGAACUGUAGGCUAGAGAACACUACAAGUUGGGGUAGAAUUAGAUGGAUAUUUGAAAUUCAGGUGAUGAUGCUUCGGCAAAAGAAAACUAUGAGGUUUUGGAACUAAACUAAGCUUAACUAUUGACAACAUAUUAAGUUUUAAGUUCAAAAGUUAUUCUAAGAUGGAGUGCCUGUGUAGAAUGGAGAUACUCUCUUGGUAGAUGUUUAAUCAGAUCAAUGUUGAAAUUAUCAUACUGAACCCUUUGUGGGAAGAUUUUUCAUUUGAGUAGAUUUCAUUGCAGAGUUCACUGUAUAUUUUAACUUCUGCAGUCAAUUAACAACUUCAUCCAUAUAAAAAAAUGCACAAAUAUGUUUGCCCUUAUAUGUACUUUUACUCCUUUCCAUCUUUACUUUGGCUAAAAUAUGUAGUUCUUUGGGUUUACUGCAACGCCAUGCUGGUGAAACCAGAACUAGUGAUUUGUUCAGUUGAAAUAUAGUUGUGUUCAUUGCAAUCUGAGCUAAGAUCAUGCCUCUCCCUUGCUUAGUGUUCUUUGAUGGCCAAUUUUUUUUUUUUUUGUUCUCUUUUUCUCAUGUAAAUGUCUUUCUUGGAAUAAAUAAUUCUUAGUGUUCUCUUUAGUUCAUACUCAUGUAUUCUUUCUUAAUGGCUAUUUCCUUGUAACGCAGGAGCAUCAUUUUUCUAUGUUGCAACGUGAAACUGAGAAACUUCGAGGUGACAUAGAGAAGAUGCGAAGUGAACUAAGGUAUGUUCUCUGGAUUAGAGUUGAACUGUUUAAUACUUCUCCAAAAAUUUUGAUAGCUUGAUUUUGUAAAACUGAUCUCUCAAACAGGUAUGAAAUUGAUAAGGUCACUGCAGGGCAGCGUCUGGAUUUAAAUCUUGAAAGAGGGUAGGUAGACUUUAUUUUCAGUUGUUCUCUUCAUGGUUGCACUUGCUUGCUUUAUUUUCUUAACUCCUAACUGAUUCUAGGCGCAUACGUGAUGAACUGGCCAAUCAGAAUGCAGAAACUACCAACCUGACAAACAAGCUAGAUAAGGUGAGCGUGUGGUUGCUUAUAUCAUUUGAAAGUCUAUAUUUAGAUACUCUGACAUACAGCAUAAACAUGAUGUUAUGAAUCAUCUGCAGGAAAUUCAUGCAUUAAGAGCCCAGUUAGAAGCUGCGAAAUAUGAUGUAAUUAAGUACUGCAUAGGUACCCUGGUCUCCAUAUCUGCCGUUGGGCUAGCUGUACUGCGCAUCUUGAUGUAGUCUUGCAUCUGCUUUAAGUAGUGCCAACUAUUCCAACAUGCACCUCCAAUAUCAUCAUUCUUUUUUUCUGGCAACUGGAUUGCUUUGGGAGUAAAAAGGGUGGGAAUUACUUAAUGGUUACAAGAUUUUUCGUAUAAUUGGCAAGGAAUGACAAAUCCCAAUUGAUCGGAACAAUUAUUUGUGCUUCUUUUAGGAUUAAGCACGACUUAUUCGAUUUACUCUGUAUGUUCUGUUAUUGUAUUCUAGGAAAAAGGCAAAUGGAGCUAAAGAGAUAAUCAUCCAACAUUGCUACCCCAGGCAAUGGUGCAACUGUGUUAAGCCUCUAAGUUGGAUUUUCUUUUUAUCAAACUGAUGAUUUUGCAAUGAUUAAUUCAUUAUAAUUUAUACAUGAUCUGUUUGGGCUCUUUUUGUUAUUACUGUUUGAUGAUUGCAACAGCAUGAUUGUACAGACCAAUUUAUGCCCGGGCCCAACAAGCAGAGACCCAAAACCCAAAUUAAUCAAACCCUAAAACUAACCCAAAUGGCCCAAUACAACUGGCCCAAACAACCCAAUGGCCCAAUAACCUAAAGCUAUCAGAAAACCCUAAUCCCCUAACCCCAUGUGCCGUACUCUGCCACCACCUACCACCGCCAUUCGCCUUGUCACCUCAACUCUCUGCCACCGACCCACCACCAUGCCCAUUAAAUGCCUGCAAAAUCCAGAGAAAAGGGAGGAUAGCAAGAAAAGAGAAAAAAUAGAAACAAAAUAUGGUGAAGAUCGGCUAUAAAGAGCUGAAUACCAACAUUGUAAUUUCAGAGUUGUUUUUACAACACCAGUGAAUAAAAAAAAACAGAUCAAAAAUUAAAAAAGGUUGUUUCCGGUUCUUUUUCUGUUCUUGCGUCUUUGUCUUUUCUUUAUUUUCCUUUUAUUUUUGUUUGUUUUACAACUCUUUUUAACAAAAACGAAGCGAAAAAGGGAAAGAAAUAUACCUAUUUGUUUCGAGGGCCGGCCGGAACCCACCUUCGCCAUCACCAGAGUCGAGCGGGGAGGGGAGUCUCUUCCUUUUUUCUCUCGGUCCCGCGGAUGAGAAGGCUUAGCCUUCAGGGAUGCCGUGAAAGGAGGGCUGAGAAGCCCGUUUCGCGCAACUCCGGCCACUGGCCAUGGAGGCGGCGGUGGAGUCUUGAACUUAAGGGCUGAGAUUGAGGGAGAAAAGAGGGAGAGAGAGAACUCAGUUUUUUUUAAAAAAAUAAAUGGAAAAUGACUGAUUUCACAAAAAAAUUAGCCUUUAUAAGCUGGGUGAUACGACGCCGUUUAGGGCUAAUCCAAUAGCCCUAAAACGGCACCGUCUUGGUCC